AAACCCAAACCUCUUCUUUCUUGGAAGCCUCGCGCUACCAUUUCACUUCUUUCAUUUUUAACCGACGCUUGUUGUCGCUCUAACGGCACAUUCAACCGCCGUCUCUUUAACUUCUUCAUCCGCAAAUCCUCGCCUAAUGCCACUCCCGUUAACGGUGUUUCCAUCAAAGACAUUACCGUUAACUCCGAAAAUAACGUUUGGUUCCGUCUCUUUACACCCACUGUUGGCGGAGAAGUCGUCGGAGAUGGUGGUGCAACCAAAACAACCUCCCUUCCCGUUGUCAUUUUCUUCCACGGUGGUGGCUUCACCUAUCUUUGCCCCUCCUCUAUCUACUAUGAUGCUUUUUGCCGUAGACUCUGCCGGGAAAUAUCCGUUGUUGUUGUCUCUGUCAACUACCGCCUCACACCGGAGCAUUGCUAUCCGUCGCAAUACGAAGACGGAGAAGCUGUUUUGAAAUAUUUGGAGGAGAAUAAAAUGGUUUUACCGGAAAAUGCUGACGUGUCAAAAUGUUUCCUCGCCGGAGACAGUGCCGGUGCAAAUUUGGCACAUCACCUUGCAGUUAGGGUUUGUAAAGAAGGGCUCCAGGAAAUCCGGAUUAUCGGGUUGGUAUUGAUUCAGCCGUUUUUUGGCGGGGAGGAACAGACCGAGGCGGAGAUUAAACUUGAGGGAUCUCCGUUGGUGUUGAUGGAAAGGACGGAUUGGUGGUGGAAGGUGUUUUGACCGGAGGGAUCGAACCGGGAUCAUGGUGCUGUUAAUGUAAGCGGGCCGAAUGCGGAGGAUUUGUCGGGUUUGGAUUAUCCGGAUACGCUUGUUUUUAUUGGUGGAUUUGAUCCUUUAAAUGAUUGGCAAAAGAGGUAUUAUGAUUGGUUGAAGAAAUGUGGGAAAAAAGCUGAGUUGAUUCAAUAUCCAAAUAUGAUUCAUGCUUUUUAUAUUUUUCCUGAUUUGCCUGAAUCUACUCAGUUGAUUGUGCAAGUCAAGGAGUUUGUCAACAAAGUCUCCGGUUCUAAAUAAUUGAUUAUUGUUGUAAUAAUAUUAUGAUAAUAAAUUCAUAAUAUUAUUACAUUGAGAUCUUAGAAUGUGAUCUUUUCAAAGUCUCAAGUUAGAUUCUGGUGUCAAUUUCGGCAGAAUGGUUUGAGUUCUUUGGAAAAGAAAGAACUAUUAACAUUUAGAACCUAGACAUAGAGAUGCAAUGCUACAUGUUUAUGAUGUUUUAGUUUAAGAAGAAUGCUAAAUUAAUAAGUAUAAUGUGAGUGAUCUUAAUGACUAUGACAUAUGUUUAGUGUUCACAUUUUGUAUUGAAUUUAUAAUGUGGGUUUGCAUAAUUUGAUAUGCCAAAUUUGAUGAGUAGUCGCUUAUGCAUGGUUUGGAAUUCAUAUACGUCCUAGAAUAAGUUUUGAUACUAUCCCACUUGUCACAAAUAGUCGAUUACUUGGUUUUGUGAUUAGAAGAUAAGUGUUUACCUUUCUUUUGUAGGGAUUUCCCUUGGGUGCCAAAAUUUGGUGCUACCACAAAAUCAAUUGGUAUUUUUUAUUUAUUUAUUUUUUGGUAGAAAUCAAUUGGUAUUUUUAUGGGCUUUGAAGAUUAACGUAAUUUGAUAAAUUGGAAUUUUUAUGAAUUAGAAUAUAUUUGUUUCAAUCAAUUGGUAUUUUUUUAUAAACUUUGAAGAGUAACGUAAUUUGCUUUUUAGUAGUGUACAUUGACUGAUUUAAUUUACACACUCAUCUUUUGCACUAUAAAUAAGUGCCUUGUGUUAGCAUUUUGUUAACAAGUCAUAUUUGCACCAAAACGAGCCUUUUAUACUACAUAGUUUAUUUUGAAGUACUUGUGUUUCAAUUUGUUACCUUUACAUAUUUGGUGUAAUCUUUUAAUUGUCUUAUUCUUUCUUUUUUGUAUUAGGUGCGAUCCUAAGGUUUCAAAAGAGGUGAUAUAUCUUGGGUUUAAAGGUUCUUCUAUAAAGGAUAAUUUUGUUUGGGGAGUGCUAGCUAUCUUGUAAAGGUUACUAUAGUUUAUCUUGUUUAAAAGUUUGGUUAGUGAAAAUCUCAAGGGGUUUUUCCUUUAGGGACUAGACGUAGCCAUGGUGUUUUGGGUCGAACUAGGGUAAACUUUUUGGUGUUUUUUUUCCUCAUCCUUUUAUCUCUUUUACUUUAUAUGUUAUUUACUUUACCUCAACAUCUACAUUUUCUAUAUUUAUUUAACCUUUUUAUAAGCACUUUAUUUUAUUUUAUUAACAUUUUUAAGUGCUUAUUUAAACUGUUUUUUAAAGAACACAAUUCACCCCUCAUCUUGUGUGUUUGAAGUCGCUUGUUCAACAAGUGGCGUCGGAGCUUGAAAUCUUGUUUAAAGACUAAUCUUCUCAAGUGCCAAGAUGACUUCAAACAACGGUUCAAUAAAUAUACUCCUAUCUUUCAAUGGUGAAGGGUAUUGUUAUUGGAAAGAGAGAAUGAAAAUUUUCAUCGAGGGAGUUGGUUUUGACAUUUGGGAUGUUGUAGUAAAUGGUCCAUUUAUUCCCACUUAUUUAGUCAAUAAUGUAGUGGUGAAUAAACCAAGAUCUCUUUCGACCAAAGAUGAAAAAGAAAAGGUUCAAUACAAUUUGAAAGAUAAGAACAUUAUCACAACUUCAUUAAGCAUUGAUGAGUUCUAUCAUGUAUCAAACGUGCAACCACCAAAGAAAUCUCGGACACCCUUAAAUUGGCCCAUGAAGGUACGAUCGAGGUCAAAAGGGCUCGAAUGAACACAUUAACUAAUGAGUAAAAAUUAUUUAGGAUGAAAUCGGGAUAAAGCAUCCAAGAUAUGCAAAAUUGAUUUAUCCAUGUAAUAUAUAAUGUCCGAGCUGAUCUUCAAAAAUCUUUUGAUAAUGAGGAUUUAACUAAUACAAUUUUUAGAUACUUGAGUCGAAGUUGGCAACCGAAAAUUACUGGAAUUUGUGAAUCAAAAGAUUUACCAUUUAUGUCUUUGGCAACUUUAAUUGGAAAAUUGCAAGAACAUGAACUUGAUUUGAAUCGACUCGUUGAAAGCCAAAAAGGUGAAAAGAAGAAGAAAAGUUUUGCUCUCAAAGUUAGGAUCAAUGAAAGAAUUUCCUUCAAUCCAAGUUGCUACAAGUGUGGUAAAAAUGGUCACAUAAAAUCCAAUUGUCCACUAAGUCAAAAGAUAUAUACAAAAUGAAAGAGGGCUUAUAUCGCUUGGGAUGACAAAGACACAAACUUAUAUGAUGAAUCAGAAAAUGAAGUAGCAUGUUUAUGUUUCAUGGCAAACCAUAAGGAAGAUGAGAUCAAUUCUUUUGAAUUUGAAUGUGAAUUAACUUAUGAUGAGUUAUUUAAUAUCUGUAAAGAAUUAAAUGAUGAAUUAACUAAGCUUAGAAAAAUUGUUUCUUCCUAUAAACAAAACUAUCACCACUCUUGAAUCAACAAUUGAUAUUUAAAACACGGAUUUUAAAAGAGAAACAAGUUUUUGUAAGUGAAGUUUCUUCUUGCACCUCUUGCAAAAAUAGAAAAGAAAAUAUUUUCAAGUGUAAUGAUUGCAAUAUUUUGAAUAUUAAAAUUGAGGAUAUGCAAAACAUACUUGCAAAAUCUACAAUGGGAAGAGAAAAUUUGAACAUCAUUGAGGAUAUAAUAAAACCGAUUUGGGCUAUCAUCCAAAAAAUCAUGAAAAACUUAUUAGAAAGUUCUUUCUUCCCAAACAAAACCUGAAGUUUCCCUAUUGUUAAAUAUUUUUAUUGUGGAAGAGAAGAUCAUACAUCUUCUAUUUGUAAUAUUAGAAAGAACAAUGGUAUGAAUGAGAGAAGAAAGUGAAUUUCAAAUGACACUUUGUCUAUAACUAACUCACAAUGACCCAAGAUGAUUUGGGUACAAAAAUUAAAACUUAAAUUUGUUUUAUUGGUGUGAUUGAAUGCCAAAAACAAAAAAAUUGUCUAAUUAUAGAGACUAUUCAAAGCACAUGGAAGGGGGAGGAAAAAAGUUCUUAUUAUCACCAAAAGAUUUGCCAUAUAUGAUGGUGACUUUAUCAAAUGUUCUUCUCCGAAAAGAAAUUUCAAUUUCAAGAAAAGCUAAAAUGGUUUAAUUUUCUCACUUAAUUCUCUUUAUUCUUGUUUUAAAUUUUUCUGAAUAUAUGUCUUGCCAUGAUUAUUUUUUCUCACUUUUUGAUAAUGCCAAAAGGGAGAGGAGAGUUAUGUGAUUUAUAUGUUUCGGAAGGGGGGUUAAUUUUAAUUAUUUGCAUAUAACGAGCGGAGGACUAAAUAUGUGCUUAUAACACUUUCUUGGAGCAAAUCCAUCCGGCUCCAUGAGAUGUUUAUUAUCAUCAAAAAGAGGGGGAAUGUGAAUAUAUAUUUUGACAAGAAUAUUUUGUUUUGAUGAUCGACAAAAGAGGUCCUAAAAGAAAAUCAACGACAAAAAUGGAAAACAAGAUCCAAACUUUCAAGUUUUGGAUUUGUUUUUUAUUUGUAUUAGAACUUUUAUGUAAUUAGUUGAAAAAAUUCUCAUUAAAAUAAAUCACACACUCACAAUAAUUUUCAUCUCAAGUAAUUUUACAUCGUAUACUUUUGCAUGAAAGCCAUAAUGCAUCAUUGGAAAUUGUAUAAUUAUUUUUGGCUCAUAGAAAUAUUUCAGCAUAUUUUUGCAUAAUAUACUUAAUGUUUCAUUGUGUUCUUAUAUACAUACAACCCAAUCAAUAUCUCGUAGUGGAUUAUAUUGGUUUUAACAAUUUGAUUUCCAUGACCGACUAAAUAAUAUAAUACUAUAUCAUAAUUGUUCUUUUAUGUAAAUUAUUUUGGCAUGAUCGGUUUUUUGAUUUGAAAUUGUCAACUACUACAUUUUAUUUGCUAUUAUGACCUUAAAUUAUCCUCAUGUCAAUUUUUUUUUCUUCUUCAAAAUGGCAGAUUGACAUAAUGAUCAAUUUUAAUUCUUUUACCGUUGGACUCAGCAUGUGUCAUAUAUGUGUUUUGACUUUGUUUCAAUCAAUUGGUCUUUUUAUGGGCUUUGAAGAGUAAACUAGAAUUUCAUCAUACUUGAGGGAGAGAAUAUAAUUCUGCUCCUCCUCCUGUACUUUUCGCUUGCACCCAACUGAAAAUACAAUAAUGCCAUUGCGUUAGUUAAGUCACGCACCACUGACUUGUCUGCAAGUUAACUCACGCAUGUUGGCCGGCUGUCAGAACUGAAGAACAAACAUUUUUUGAUCUUUGGUCAGUUUUUCAACAUUCAAUCCACGCGUUUUUUUUACCAAAUUUUACACGUUUUUUUGACCACGUUAAUGGUAUUUACAACCUAUACUACAAUUCCCACCUACAAAUACCCCUCCAUAUUUCCCUAAUUCCACACACCAUAUCACUUUCUCCCCGUCCUCAUCUCUCCCUCUAUUUCUCUGUUUUUUUUUUUUUUUUUUCAAUAGUCUCGGGACAAAAGUGAUCAAACUUCUUAGGGGUAAAAUAGUGAGUAGCCGACUUGAGAAAGUGAUGAACCAUUGGGAUAAGAUUAAAUUUACUUUUUUUUACCCCCAAAUUUUUUUUACCGUGGGUAAAAAGAAUCUUCUUAGGGUAUAAAAAGAACCAGAUUUAAAUUUAGCCCAAAGGUUAAUGAUAUAUUUUCCCCAAGAAAGCUGCUCACUAUUUUACCCCAAGAUGAUUGGUCACUUUUUACCCCAAAAGAGUAAAAAGAAAAUAAGUAGAUUUAGUGAAUUUGAAUAAAUUAUUGUAUCAAUUAUUGUAUUUUAUGAAUUCUAUUAAUAAAAUGAGAUGUUUUUUUUUUGACAAAAAAAUGAGAUGUUGUUAUAUGCCUCAAUUUUAUUCAUUCCUUUUUAUUUAUAUUUGCUUUUAUUUUAUAAUUUUGUAUUUAAUGAAUAAAUAUUAAUUUAGUUUAUUUCCUUUUAUUUAUAUUUAUAUUUAUUUAAUGAAUGCAUUCGAAUCAAUAUUUAUUUUAAGUUCAUAAAUAAAUUAGAAUGAAGUAAAUACGUAAAUAAAUUAAUUUUAAUAAAGUAAAUAAAUUAGAAUAAAGUGAACAAAUAAAUUAGAAAAUAAAUAAACUAGAAUAAAGUGAAAAAAUAAAUUAGAAUAAAGUCAAUAAAAUAAUUUGAAUAUAGUAAAUAAAUUAAAAAAAGUGAGUUAAGUAACUAUGGGUGACUUAAGUCAUGCAACGUCACUUAAUAUGCACACAUUUUUACACUUGCGUUAGGGGUGGUUUGGGUAUUUCAGCUGGGUGCGAGCGAAAGUGCAGGGGAAGAGAAGUAAUCUAGAAUAUUGUGAUGUAUCAAGUGUGAAUUAAAGUCCAACAUUGAAUAUAAAAGCGUAAGUUGAACAACAAAUAAGAGAAAAACUUAUAUACUUAAGUCUUAAAAUGUUGGAUGAAGAUGUGAUUCCAUUCUUACUUGUAUGACUGCUCUUUCUCCAAUGUGUCAAUCCACAUCGGUGUUGGCUCCUCCAAAAGGUCCAACAAUGGUAUCAUAACUCAGUUCAACAUUGUGGGGGUAAUGGGAGUGGUUCAUGGUGAUGAAUAACGAACAAUGAGAGUUUGACGCUUAAUGAAGAGGUUUUUUUUUAAGGAGUAAUGGAUAGUUGUUAAUGUGUCAAGUGUGAAUUAAAAUUCAGUAAUGUAUGCAAUAAUAUAUGUUGAGCAACAUAUAAGUGAGAUGACCCUUAUACCUAAUGUUUAAGACUUUUGGUGAAGAUGUGAUGUCAAUCAUACUUGUUUGGUUGCUAAUACACUAAUAUGAUGAUACAACCCAAUGUAGGUUCCCACAUAAGUCCCAACAUUAUGAUGAUUUGGUUUUGCUAGUUUUUGUGUCAUUUGUUUAAUUUAUUCUCUUUAAAAUUUAGAUUUAGGAUGUAAACCUCUAUUAUUUUAAAGUUCUUCACUUUUAGUAUUUAGUGGGAUUUGAUAACGGACAAAUAUAGACGUGUCCUGCAGAGUUGACAAAAUACAUGAUUGUUAGACAUUUUAAAUGAUGUGACAUUUUUUUUAAUGAGUCUAAUAUUUUGGUAGCAUAAUUAUUCAGUAGUCUCUAAUUUCUUCUACAAAUUAAAUCCAUAAAAUUAUCAGCAAUUUCUUCACAGACUCCUUAUUUUUUAUUUUUUUCUCUUUUCAUUUUUCUCAUCUUCAAAUUCCUUUUUCAUCUUCUUUAUUUCUCUGAUUUACUUUCUCUCUUCUCGUGAAAGAAAGGAACAAAAGUAUCACUCUAUGAAACUACGACCAACCCAUAUAUUUUUUUACAAUGUUGUAAUUUUGACCUUAUUUGCAUAUAUCAUCAGAUAUAGACACAAAAAGUCUCACAUUUAAUGGGAGAGAUGUUAAUGUGUCAUGCGUUAGUUUACUUUUAUAUUGGAUGCAAGAGUAUAUAUUGAGCAACAUAUAAAUGAGAUAAUCAAUAUGCAUAAUAUCUUAAGAUUUUGGGUACAUAUGUGGUGUCAAUCUUAGUUGUGGGGUUUCUCUUAGUAUAUUAUGAUGAUCUAACCCAUUGUAUGCUCCCUCAAAACUCUGAACAUUAUGAUGAACUAUAAUAUUUUGUUUUUUUGGAUGUUAUAUGCUUAAUUUUUUAUUUUAUUUUUAUGUUAAUAAUAAAUUUUUGGAUGUCGUUUUCUUUCAUGCAAUUUUUUUAUCCAAUCUCUAUUAUCUCAAAUAUCGUCACUUUUGAUCCUUGGUGGGAUCUGUCAAUGAAAAAAAUAAAAUGUGUUAUGUUGAGUUAACAAAGUACAUGCUUAUUAAUUAGACAAUUUAAAAUUAUGUAGUAUUUUUGUUUUUUAAAAUUGAUUAGGGUUGGAUCCAAUGUAUGUUGAAUUCUUUUUGGUGGGGUCACUCAGGAUCACAUAGGAAAGGUAUACACUGGAUGUCUUGGGAUAAAUUAUCUAUGCACAAGAAAGAUGGAGGGAUGAGCUUUAAAAGUUUGGGCACCUUCAACAUGGCAAUGUUGGGAAAACAAGGCUGGAGAAUUUUGACAAAACCAGACACACUCAUCGCUCGAAUAUAUAAAGCUCGAUAUUUUCCGCGUUGUAAUUUUCUUGAAGCCGAGCUAGGUCACAACCCAAGUUUCGUUUGGAGAAGUAUCUGUAAGUCAAAAUUCAUUCUCAGAGCAGGUAGUAGAUGGAAAAUUGGUGAUGGUACGUCCAUUUCAGUUUGGAACAAUUAUUGGAUGAAAGACAAUGUCACCAUCUUCCCUCUUGAUGAUGUUGCAACUACCUUGGCGAACUUACGAGUCUCAGACUGUUUAUUACCGAAUCAGAAGAGUUGGGAUGUCCCCUUUCUUCAUUCAAUUUUUAGUGAGCAAAUAGUGGAGCAUAUUGUUGCGACACCCUUAUAUUCUUCAGUGCGUGAAGACCGACUCAUCUGGAAAAAGGAGAAUAACGGGGAAUAUUCAGUUCGUAGUGCUUACCGCUUAUGUCUAAAUGAAUUAUUGGACACAUCUCACUUCAAAGUAGAAGGCGCAUGGGAUUUGGUUUGGAAACUCAAGGUGCCACCGAGAGUUAAAAAUCUCAUAUGGCGCAUUUGUAGGAAUUGUCUUCCGACGCGUAAAAGGCUGAGAGACAAGGGAGUUAAUUGCACUAAUGUUUGUGCACUUUGUAAUUUGGAUGAAGAGGACAGCAUGCAUCUGCUAUUCAAAUGUGCUGGCAGUAGGAAUAUUUGGAGUAUGUGGAAUGCUUACUAUUCUGUCAACCAUAUUCUAGAGGGAUAUCAGGAUAUCAAGGAAGUUAUCUUCAAAACACUUCAGGCACUGCAACAUGAAGAUGCUUCUCUUUUUGGCUGUAUUAUAUGGAGUAUUUGGAAGCAGAGAAACAAUAAGAUUUGGAAAGAAGUAACUGAUGCGCAAGGCUUUGUUUUUGAUCGUGCCAAAUCACUGUUAGAAGACUGGAAGGCAGCAAGGUCCAUUCAAGGAAGUACUGUCAGACGAGAAUACCCAGCUAGCAACGUGAAGUGGAUAAAACCAAGGUUAGGGAGGUUUAAAUGUAAUAUUGACGCAGCUUUUUCCGAGACGGCGAAUCUGGUUGGAGUAGGGAUGUGCAUUAGAGAUGAGAACGGUCACUUUGUGUUGGCUAGAACGGACUGUUUCAGCCCUAUGUGUGAAGUACAUGUUGGAGAAGCUUUAGGUCUUUUAUCUGCUAUGGAUUGGGUUCAUUUGUUGCAACUGGGAACUGUUGACUUUGAGAUGGAUGCAAAAAGAGUAGUUGAUAGCAUAAACUCCAGUCAUAAUGAUGCUACUGAGUAUGGAAAUAUCAUUUCUAAUUGUAAAACUCUCUUUAGUCAAUUUUAUGAAAACUCUUGUGUUGAGUUUGUACGGAGGCAAGCAAAUGAGGUUGCCCAUAGUUUAGCUAAGGCGGCCUUAUCUUCAGCUAGCUCCCAAAUAUUGGUUACCAUACCAAAUUGUAUUGAACACAUCUUGUUUAAUGAAAUGCAAUAGAUUUAUUCCUCUAAAAAAAAAAGAGUUGAUUCACAUGGAUUGACUGGGUCAUGUUUUAUGUCCCCCUAGUUUAUAUGUAAUUUUUUCAUUGUUUUUAAUAAUAUAUAUAAGCAAUUGGCAAAAGAUUAGAGUAAGUUACUAACUUAGUUGGGUACUGUUCUUUUUUAUGUCAAUUUACUCUUGCCUUGUAAAAAAACUAUGUAUUUUAUGCACAAUUUAAUUUUAAAUAAAAAAUAGUUUACUAAUAAUAACCUCAAUUGUUAGUAUAAAAAUAUGAAUUGAAUCUAUUUCAUUAUUGAAAAGCUCUUUUACCACAAAUUUAAAUUGUUUAUGUUGUUGGAGUGAUUUUUUUUAUAAAUCAAGAGUAAAAUGACAUACUUCCUCUCCCAAAUUGUAUGUCGCUUUGGAAAAAAAAUUUAUCCCAAAUUAUAUGUCGCUUUACAAUACCAAUGAAAUAUUAAUGUUACUUUUCCUAUUAUAUCCUUAACUAUUAAUUACUCUCUCUUCUUUCAAUUAUUUCAUUUAUCUUUUCCAUACCAUUUAUUAGGGAUAAUUUUGUAAAACAACUCAUAAUUUCUCUUCCCCACACAAUAUUAAUUACAUUUCUUAAUACGUGUGAAAUGGCCAAAACGUCAUACAAUUUGGGUCGGAGGAAGUAAAAAAGAAUGGUGUCCAACUAAGUUGGUACCCUUCUCUAAUCUAUUUGACAUUUAAUGUUACUUAUGUAUAUUACAUUUUGAUUAGUUGAUAUUAUGAGAGAAUAAUUACCCUCUAAACAAAAGAGGGUAACGUACACCUCACCAUAUUUAAUUCAUUAACUUGUAUCUUAAUAGCAUAAGUUAGCUUUUCUCAAGAAUAAAUACCCAUCACAUUAUCUAUCUACUUUCUUUGACAAAACCCAUCAUCUUAUCUUCUAUGGCUUAUUUAUUAUUCGUUGAAAGGGUGGUUUAUCAUCCUAUCUUCUAUGGCUUAUUUAUUAUUCUUUGAAAGGAUGGUUUAUUUAUUACUAUGUAUCUUCUAAUUUUAGCUAAAUCAAAAAACCCAAAAUUUCAAUGUCUAAAAACCAACCCAAACCUCUUCUUCCUUGGAAGGUCCGCGCUACAAUUUCACUUCUUACAGUUUUAACGGACGCUUCAUGUCGAGCUAACGGUACCGUCAACCGCCGUCUCUUUAACUUCUUCGAUCUCAAAUCCUCACCUAACGCCACUCCUGUUAACGGCGUUUCCACCAAAGACGUUACCGUUAACGCCGAAAAUAACGUUUGGUUUCGUCUCUUUACCCCCACUGUUGCCGGAGAAGUCACCGGAGAUGGUGGUGCCACCAAAGCAACCUCCCUUCCUGUCGUCAUUUUCUUCCACGGCGGUGGCUACACUUUUCUUUCUCCUUCCUCGAACCUCUACGACGCUGUUUGCCGUAGACUCUGCCGGGAAAUCUCCGCUGUCAUUGUCUCCGUCAACUACCGACUUACACCAGAGCAUCGGUAUCCGUCACAAUAUGAAGACGGAGAAGCAGUACUGAGAUUCCUUGACGAGAACGUAACCGUUUUACCGGCAAAUGCUGACCUGUCAAAAUGUUUCCUAGCAGGAGAUAGUGCCGGUGGAAAUUUGGCACACGAUGUUGUGGUUAGGGCAUGCAAAACGGGGCUCCAGAACAUCCGGGUUAUCGGGUUAAUAUUGAUCCAACCAUUCUUCGGUGGAGAAGAACGGACGGAGGCGGAGAUUAACCUAGUUGGGAUGCCAUUUGUGUCGGUGGCAAAGACCGACUGGAUCUGGAAAGUAUUUUUACCAGAGGGAUCGGACCGGGAUCAUGGUGCGGUUAAUGUAUGCGGCCCGAACGCGGAGGAUUUGUCGGGUUUGGAUUAUCCGGAUACGCUUGUUUUUGUUGGUGGGUUUGAUCCUUUGAUUGAUUGGCAAAAGAGGUAUUAUGAUUGGUUGAAAAAAUGUGGGAAAAAAGCUGAGUUGAUUGAAUAUCCAAACAUGGUUCAUGGUUUUCAUGUUUUUCCUGAUUUUCCUGAAUCUACUCAGUUGAUUAUGCAAGUCAAGGAUUUUAUCAACAAAGUGUCCAAUUCUAAAUGAUGACUAUUGAUUAUUGUUGUAAUGAUACUGUUAUGAUGUUUUUAUUUUAGUUUAAUAAAUAUAAUAUGAGUGAUCUUCGUACCUAUGAGUAUGUUGUUAGGGUAAACUUUGGAAUUAUACAUUGUCUUGAAUUUAAUUGCAUAAUUUGAUAUGCCAAAGGAUGAUUAAUUUGCUUAUGAAUUGGAAUACGUGUUAGAAAUUUAAAAUAGGUGUUGCUACUACCCAACUUGUGCACAAUAGUUAAUAACUUGGUUGUGGGGUAGAGGUAGAUGAUGACGAUUUUGGCUAGAAGAUUUUUGGACGAGGUUGGUUGGGAAUAUGAAUCCUCUAACAUUCAAAUCAAGAAGAAUUUGAUUACAAGAACAGUUGGAGAUGAUAAUAUGGAGCCAUGACGAAGGAAAUAUAAAUUAAUCAUCCAAAAAAAUUAAAAAUAAAAGAAGCAAAAAAGGUAGUAGAAUGGCGCCAUCCGAAAGGAUGAUGGUACCAUCUCAAAUGGUUUCUUGUGAGGGUGAAAAGAAAAGUAGACAUUUUGGAUAUUCAUUUUCAAUGUGGGGUAGAUUGGAUGUUUUUCUUCAAAAGUAUGUUAGUUAAAAAAAAAAAAAAAAAUGCUUUUGACCUCUCACAUCAUCAUGUUUGACUAUUUUACAAAUUACUAUGUUGAAAUAUUUUGGAAGUGAUCCAAAGUCAACAUAGCUCAACUGUCGAAGUGAUGCGGUGGAAGAUGAAGAUGACAGUGUCUCUUGGGGAGGGGGGGGGGGGGGUUUACUUACAAACACUGUAAUGAUAAAGUUGGUUUAUGAUCAAGGGUUAGAGGUUUGGUAAAGAAGACGAGAUAGGGUUACCCGUUUAUAGAACUAUCGAGAUGGAGAGUGUGCUAAUGCCCUUCUAAGAUUCAAUAGGCAAGUGAACCUUUUAAGAUAUUUUGAAUUUAGGAACCCUAUUAUCCGUCAUUGUUUUAACAGUACUGCUAUUUAGUACGGACGGUCGCAUACGAAAUUUCACGGGCGCGUUUAAAAUCUUAUUUUCCACGCGCUACAGUGUCUGUAGUUUUUUAAAAUAAAAAAUGAUAAAAUCAGUCAUAGCACUUCAGUUUCUCUUUCCUCCGCAGCUUAUUUUCCAGCCACCGUUUCUCUUCCUUCCGCAGCCGUUUGGAAAUGAAAAGCACAUCUACUCCAUCAUCUCUGGCCACCGCGACGGAACUAUAGCUUCAUAUUCGAGUUCUCUUUUCUUCGGGGUAAGUCAUCUUCUCCUUCUUACCAUCUUCUCUGUUUUCUUUCUUUACAGUUUGAUAUGGGAGAUGUAAUUAUUGAUGGUAAAUCCACUGGUAUGUGUAGAUUUAUGUUAGCAUAAAUGUUAAUUCAUUGGUUUGACCAACUACCUAAUAACUACCCUUCUAAACGGACUUCCGGUUAUAAGCGCUUUUACGCAAAAGCUGUUUCAGCUGACUCACAUAAACCUCUUGUUGAUAAUAACCAAAAUACUCCCUCAUCAUCAAAUUGUCCUUGUUCUUGGUGGUUCAGGCGGUGUUGGUAACCAUUCAUUUAUUCUUCUUCCUUCUGUUUCUUUUGUAAUUAGUUUGAUUUUGAAUUUGCUUUAGGCCCGCCCUGUUUGGAUAAACAAAUUAAUUUGCAGCUUAAAUUAUAAGUGUUUGUCGUGAUAAGUCCUUAUGAAUAAGCUGUCUUCGUAUGAGUAAUAAGUUGUUUUCAGAAGUUAUCUUCAAGAGCUUAUAAAAAAAAGUUGAAAACAUCUUAUGAACAUGAGCUAUUUUCAUAAGUUCUCCAAAACAGUCUCAAAAAUGUUGAAGGUAAAUCCAAACAAGUUCUUAAUGUUUCAUAAAUAUUUACAUAUUGUUUAACUAAAUAGAAAAAAUAUAAUGAUUAGUCACUCUAGAUGCAUUUACGAUCGCGGCCAAUUCAUAGAGUAGUUGCUGACUUAUGGGUGUUGUUUAUUAAGUUGACUCUAUGUUAGAUCUGCUAUAUCAAAAAAAAAAAAAAAAUAAAAGUAGAUCAGUUAUACAGUUAGUAGUUACUGGCUAGCAAUCUGUCACAGUUGGUUAGAUUUCUGUUACGGUUUGUUUGUUUUGGUUCAACUUUUUGAUCUUGUAAAUAAGACAUGUUUGACUCAAUAUUCAAUAAUUCCGUUGAGAUCAAUGACAAAUGUUUCGCUCAUUUUCUCGCAUUGUUUACUUUCAUAUGGUAUCAGAGUCUAGUUACGAUCCAAGGACAUGUGAGUUAUACUAGCUUAUGUGACAUAGAGUCAACCUAUAUUGUUGAUGAAUAGUAUUAACAACCUUGUUGUUGCUAAUAUGUAAUUGUGGAAUAAGGAAUUCCUUUGCAAUGUUAUUUUACGCAUUCAGAAAACAACCGUAAAAUGUAGAAGUGCAUAUUAAUCCAUGCCAAUAGUUUUGAUUCGGGGAGUUUGUAAAUUAAUUGACUUGACUUAAUAUUCAGGGCAGCUAGUUGUAGCAUCACUGCUUCAGCGGAAUAUUAAGUUGUGCUUGAUACUUAGGGAUCUCAAGAAAGUCAAGGCUCUUAUCGUCAUUCAGGGGAUAGUGAUUAAGAAGUUCUUCACCACUUUUGGAGUACAGUAUGCUUAAGAAGUUCUUCCUUUCUAUUACUUUUCAAACUGUUUUCAGUUUUAAAAUGUUAUAGUCUAACUAUAAUAUGCAGUACAAUUUUAACAUGUUGUAAAAAUCAAAUUAUUUUCAAUCCCUUCCCCCCCCCCCCCCCCCCGAGAUAGCCAAUGCAGCAAGGGAUUUUGUUGUGGAAAUUAAUGAAGAUGUCUCAAAGAAGACGAAGAGUUGGAAGCAGGGCGCACGACAGGAGUUAAUUCAAACUUCUCAUGCUCAUGUGAUUUCUGUUGAUGCAGGUUGUUUCUCGGAUGGCUAUACUGCAUCUGGCUGCGUGUUCAAUGACUAUACAGGUGUAACUACAUUCUCAGCUUGCAAAAAGGAACAAAUGACAGCUGAACCUACAAUUGCUGAAGCUCUUGGCAUCCGCUGGUGUAUGCAGCACACGAAGGAUCAAAGAAUUAAAGAAAAGAAAUCAUUGUGCAGUCAGAUGUGUUGGUUUUAGUGGAAUGCAUUAGGGCAGAUUGUAAAACUCUUAUGAAUGCCUUUAGUAAGGUAUCUGUUAACUUUAUUGGUAGAGAUUUGAAUGUUUUAGCGCAUAGACUUGUAGGUUAUGAUAUGCAAGUAGGGAACAAAUCUUGGUUUGGAUAUCCCCUUCCUUUGAAUGAUGUUAUUGUCUCUUGUAAUGCCUCUGUUAUAUAACGAAGUUGUUAGAAUAUCAAACAGAAAGAAAAGAAAAAAAAAGAGAUUGACUAAUGCUUUUGACCAUCUUGUUUCUAUGACCAUGUAGACUGUAAUUACCAUGAUCAAUCAUGCAAUUGGAGCAUCUGGAGUCGUAACCAAGGAGUGCAACUUAGUAAGAAAGAAAGUGAUUAAUUAUCACAAUAAUUAGAAGUAUACCAACUUAGUAAAAUAUGUUUUGUUCUGCUCUAAAUAUGUUUUUGGUUACAGGAUAUUGAUCAUGGUUGGCUUCUGGCACUGAAUGAAAGCGUGCAAGCACUGUUGGCCAUAUCAAACUGAAAUAUUGUUACUGUGUGAAGGCUUGUAAUUACAUAUAUGUAUUAUUGGACGAGCUGGGACAGAUUGGGAAGAGGUAAAAACAAAGGUGGCUUAGGAUUUAGAGGCUGUUAGUAUAGUGCAUUAUGCUUCUUCCUUUGCUGAAGUGUUCAAUGCAGCCUGUAGACGGCUUUGGGUGUUUUGAAGGUUAAUAUUGAUGUGGGAUGCUUUGAAGGCGGACACACAUGUUGAGGUCUGAUCGUUAGCACCAUGACUGUGAUGGUGCUUAAAUUGGAUUGAUGAACAGAAACAGUUACAGACUAAUCCUGCUAUUGUAUCUCAUGUGAUUGUAGAAACUAACACAAGUAGUAUCCAAGGACAAACAUUUGACUUUCAGGAAAAAGAGAGAAAAUAAUAAUGAGCAUUUGGCUUUUAGGAAGUCUGUGUUAAGACUAUCCAUGUAAUGUAAUAUUACUCAUGUCUAUGUUAUGCAUGUCAAUGAAUGAAAAGUGCAGGAACAUCAAUUUGUGUACUUCAAGUUUUAAUAUUCUUUAGUAGUAUUUCUUUCGGCAUCAAUAACAUGAUAUUCCUUCCAAAUAAAAAUAUUACAGUUUGAUCACAAAAUAAAGCUAAAAAGUUGAAAGAGCGGUGUCAUUUUUUAUAACUGAUUAAUUCAUUCAAUAAAACCUAGCACAAGGAGUGCAAAAGGCUAGAGUUUACAAACAAAUCCAAACAAACAAGUCUCCACGCACUGAUGAAAACAAACACUGGGAGGCACCAAAGGCCGAAACAGGGAAAACAAAAGGCAUGUGGCUAUACAGCAUAACAACAAAAAGCCAAUCAUCACCCAAACUGCAAAUCAUGCAGACCCUCAUACCAUGACUGCAGAAAACAAAAAAAAACUCGUAACAACAGUGUCUUAAUCUUGGCUUUUGAUGGCUGGAUCAUUCAACUUAUGUCUCUGUGAUGAUUGUGUUGAUCCUUCAUAUGGUGUCGUUCCUUCAAAAAGAGACAAAGGGAUUGGUCUUUUUUGUAUUAAAAUCUGAUUGUAUUCCCACACAAUAAAAAACCAAUAGAUUGCAUUUACAUACAAUAAGAAAACUUCAAACAAAUAUCUGUAACAGAUCUGAACAACACCAAAAUGAUAUUAAUUUUUAAAUAAAAAUAAAACAACACCAAAAUCUAUAUUUGCACCUUGUUUUCUUCACCAAGAUGUUCUUGAUUUGGAUUGAAGGGAGCUACAGUAUUUACACUACCAUUUUCACCACUCCAUACAUUGUUCUGCUCCUGCUAAAAUAUUUACAUAGAAAACAUGGAUGCUUAGUAUGCAAUGUAAUAUCAGGUGCAUUUUAAAAUAAAAGUAUGGAAUCAUCUAGAAUAUGAAUUAUCAAAUAGAAAUAGAUAGAGCAACGAAUCUUAUAUCUGCACCUGAUUUACUCGACUAGAAUAUUCUUUGUUUACUUGAAUGCUCUCUUGUGUGCCAAUUCCAUCACCAAGUUGAGAUCUGUAACACACUUCAUAUUCAAUUUCUUGACCUCUAGAUAUGCAUGGGCCCUGCCAUAAAAAAAAAAUCCUAAAUUAGACUUGUCAACUAUUAUAUCUAUAAUAUCAAUAAAUAAAUACUAUAAAUUUCAUACUCACCUCUUCAGGACCUUGAGUUUUUUUACUAUUUUGGUUGUUCUUUUUAGUUUUCUUUUGUGCAAGCUUCUUCUUCACAAUCUGAUCAAAUUUAGAUGUCUUCCUUUUCGAAGGAGGACGCCCUUUACUUCGAGCCAGUUUAGGAUCAAGAAUGGUAGCUUGGCUUUGAACUGAACAAUCUUCUUCUAUAAUUCUAGGAGAUGUUUCAUUACAUGGUAACUCAAUUUUCAUGUUUUGAAUCCAGUUCAUCACUUUCACUAAAUCAUCUUCACUAUUUAUCCUUGUUGAAGCAAAUUCAUAAAAGGCGUCACAAGCUUUAUCAACACGUUGCAAUUCAGUUUUUCCAGCCAAAUUAUCAAAACCACAUUUAAUAAGUGUAUACCUCCGCUUUAUAUCUUUCCUCCACCGUGCCAAAAUAUAAUUAGAUGGCACGAAAUCUGUUUUCCCUAUGAGCUUAAGCACACAAAGGAUGUGCCUACAUAAAAUGCCUUUAAAUUCAAACAAGUGGCAGGUGCAUUUUAACAUGAAGUCUUUUUCAUUGAAGAGCACCAUGAACACAAUAUCUUUCAUCUUGUCAUAUAAUUUCUUACUUUCUGUAACAGAAAAUAUUGAAUCCAAACCCUCCAAUCUGUUGAAACAUGCAUGACAGUACAUCAUAGAAGCUAUUUCCAAUUGGAAUUCCUGAAACUUUGCAUUGGUAAAGGCUUUUUGGAAUUGGAAUUCAAAGCCAAAGUGACUAAUACAAGCAAUAACCGUAUUAAACGAACGAAAGUCGGCAAUGUUUUCCUUUUCAAUUUUAUCUUUCAAUGCAUUAUCAUACUGCUCAACAAAUUGCUUUAGUGUUGUCUUUGAGGUCACAUAUCCAUCAAAAAAUGAGUUCAUACUUUCACUUCGUUGUGUAGUUGACAUUCCAGCCCAAAAUGUGUCCCUUACAUAUGCAGGAACCCAACGAUGCCGUUCAACAAAUAUCCCUUUCAACCAUUCAUUGUCAUGUAGCUUGUAACACUCAAUCAUAUUUUCCCACUUCAUCAUAAAAUCACUUUUGCUAAAAGAAUCGUAUACAAUAUCAUGCAAAAGUGUUUUGAUAGACUCGUAGUCAGAGUGUCUACCAAACUUUUCUGGAAUCUUUUUCAUUAAAUGCCAUAAGCACCACCGAUGACGAGCCUUCGGAAAGACAACCUCAAUUGCCUUUUUCAUUGCUCCGUCUUGAUCAGUGAUUAUGGCAUUUGGAGAACGUUCAUGCAUACAUUCUAACCAAGUCUUAAACAACCAAGUAAAAGUUUCAGUAUUCUCAUUUGAUAACAGAGCACAACCCAGCAACAUCGACUGACCAUGAUGGUUUACUCCAACAAAAGGAGCAAAAGGCAUGUCAUAUUUAUUUGUUAAGUAAGUGGUGUCGAAAGAUAUGACUUCGCCAAAAUAUUCAUAUGCGGCCCUACAUCUUGCAUCUGCCCAAAACACAUUUCGUAACCGACUUUCAUCAUCGACGUCCAUUACAUAAUAAAAUUGACUAUUUUGCUUUUGCAUCCUAACAAAGUAUUUUUGUAUUGCUUCAGCAUCUCCUGUCCCAAGUCGUAAUCGUCUUACUUUGUCUAUGUGGUUUCUACAGUCUUUUUCUCCAAAUGUGAGAUUCUCAUACCCAUUUGCUUCACCGACCAAGGAUCGAAAAUUUCUACUCACAUUAAUCCCAGCUUGAUCAUUAAGUUCUAACCUCCUCUUCAUUCGAGCCCCAAUAUUUUUGUUAGAUCUAAAAUAUCGUGCUUUCCCUGGACUUAGAUCAUGAUUAUGCUAAAAAAAAACACUUGAAAUUUUAGUUGUUCCGUCUGAAUACAUAAACGCAUUCAAUCUAGCCUUACACUGCGUUUUUGUUACAGGAUUUGGCUCUAACAAAUUCUUUGAGCGACUCACAUACUUUCUAGAUCGACUGCAUGCUAAAGUAAAAUACAUUUUCCCUUCAUCUCCUUUUUUUGAACUUAUUUUAGUAGUUCCAAAACCCACCCGCUGAGCAUAAUUCCUGUAAUACUCAGUAAUUUCCUUCUCAGAUCCAAAUGACAUCCCAUCACAAGGUGUUUCUUCUUCAUAAGUAUCAUUUGCUUCUAAACAAUCAUUAGUUUCCAAUUCAUCACAAGACUCAAAUCCUUCUUGCACUAAUACAACAAAUAAAAUAAAAUAAAAAACCUAUAUUAAUUGACCAAAUUCACAGAAUACACAAAAUACACAAAUUUCCUGCUAAUGAUAUAUAAAAACAACAAAUACACAAAAUACUUACUUGUAAGUGAAAUGAAAUCUGAAAUACUCUGCUUUAGGCUAUGAAUCAAUGGAAGCUAUGAUAGUAAGCAGAAACAGAGUUAUGUGAGGAUGAAUAUGAGAUCAAAUUCACAGAGGCAAGACGUAAGAAUGAGAAAACGACCACGACGCUAUUUCGCAACAAAUGAGAUUGAACUCCAAUCAGAGUAUUUGAUUCGCGGGAAUGAGGAAACAAUUCGCAGGAAAGAGUAUCUGAUUCGCGGGAGUGGAGAUCGUGGGUUUCCAUUCUUUUUUUGGCUGAACUGCAGUUUUUUUUUUUAGUUACAAACUGCAGGUUUUAUAUUUAAUUUAAUCUUAUUUUUGUUGGACAGAGAAAGUGUAGCGCGUGGAAGUAGAAAGUUUUCACGCUCCCGUGAGUAUUCUUGCACAACACUUCCGUACAAAAUAGCAUUUUCCUUGUUUUAAAUACCUCUGAAUUUAGGAGUGACAACCCUGGACACUGAAACCUGUAGGAACUCUGGUGUAAUGGUUGCAACUGAAAGUUGGAGGAGAAUGAACUCAUACCUCUGAGAGAGUAAGACCUCACAUGUACCUACCCGUGUGAUCAGCAGGUGCAACUCGACAGCUGAUAGGUAGUAAAACCCAAUAAACUCAUCACUUGGAUAAAAAAAAAAACACUAAAAGCCGAAUAUGACUUGAUUGUUAAGUCAUUUCAACAAAUAAAUAGAGGGGAUUCAAAAAAUCCUAACUAUCGCUAACAUUUUUCAAUCAAAACAGAUAAACUUUGCUCUGUUGCAAACAGAUUAAAUUGCAAAACUAUAAACCCUUUAUCAUUAUUUAUUUUUAUUGUUCCCAAAUAAAUAACGCGGAUUGUUUAGUUGAAACUACUAUUUACAUGAUACAAUACUCUACUUACACUUUCUUAUUUGAUAAAUAACUUGAUGCACUUGCCUAAAUCUAACCAAGUAAACCGUCUCUCACAUAGAAGAAAAUCAGCUAAUAGACUAUCAUCAAUAAACCUUCUAAAAUGAUUAAAGUCAUCCUGUCAUGAGGUUGUCCCCUGAAUUUUCUUUCCUCCUCUGAGUGAAUAACAUCAAAAUAUAACCACAUAAACACCAAUUACCUAAUCUUCAUUUCUUUUUCUUUUUUUUUUGCUGCCAAAUUAACGAUCAACACGCACUUAGUCAAACCCACAACGUCUACCUACCCCAAAAUCAUAAGGUAUCCAAUAUCCAUCAUCUUAUCUUCUAUAAUUUAUUUAUUAUUUUUGAAAGCAUGGUUUAUUUAUUACGUAUCUUCUAAGUUUAGCUAAAUCAAGAAACCCAAAAUUUCAAUGUCCACAAAUAAACCCAAACCUGUUCUUCCUUGGAAGGUCCGCGCUACAAUUUCACUUCUUACAGUUUUAACGGACUCUUCAUGUCGCGCAAACGGCACCGUCAAUCGCCGUCUCUUUAACUUCUUCGAUCUCAAAUCCUCACCUAACGCCACUCCGAUUAACGGCGUUUCCACUAAAGACGUCACCGUUAACUCCGAAAACAACCUUUGGUUCCGUCUCUUUACUCCAACUGUUGCCGGAGAAGUCACCGAAGAUGGUGGUUCCACCAAAACUACCUCCCUUCCCGUCGUCAUUUUCUUCCACGGUGGUGGCUUCACUUUUCUUUCUUCUUCCUCAAACCUCUACGAUGCGGUUUGUCGUAGACUCUGCCGGGAAAUCUCCGCUGUCAUUGUCUCCGUCAACUACCGACUUGCACCAGAGCAUCGCUAUCCGUCGCAAUAUGAAGACGGAGAAGCAGUACUGAGAUUCCUUGACGAGAACGUAACAGUUUUACCGGAAAAUACUGACGUGUCAAAAUGUUUCCUAGCCGGAGAUAGCGCCGGUGGAAAUUUGGUACACCAUGUUGCGGUUAGGGCAUGCAAAGCGGGGCUCCAGAAUAUCUGUGUUAUCGGGUCAAUAUUGAUCCAACCGUUUUUCGGAGGAGAAGAACGGACGGAGGCAGAGAUUCGCCUAGUUGGGAUGCCGUUUGUGUCAGUGGCAAGGACUGAUUGGAUGUGGAAAGUGUUUUUACCAGAGGGAUCGGACCGGGAUCAUGGCGCGGUUAAUGUAUGUGGGCCGAACGCGGAGGAUUUGUCGGGUUUGGAUUAUCCGGAUACGCUUGUUUUUGUUGGUGGGUUUGAUCCUUUGAUUGAUUGGCAAAAGAGGUAUUAUGAUUGGUUGAAAAAAUGUGGAAAAAAAGCUGAGUUGAUUGAAUAUCCAAACAUGGUUCAUGGUUUUCAUGUUUUUCCUGAUUUUCCUGAAUCUACUCAGUUGAUUAUGCAAGUCAAGGAUUUUAUCAACAAAGUGUCCAAUUCUAAAUGAUGAUUAUUGAUUAUUGUUGUAAUGAUAUUGUUAUGAUAAUAACAAAUUCAUAGUUGUGAUAAAUUAUUUGUAGCUAGAACGUACAAGUUGGUAUGUUUAUGUUUUAUUUUAGUUUAAUAAAUAUAAUAUGAGUGAUCUUUAUCCUAUAUGAGUAUGUUUUUAGGGUAAAUUUUGGAAGUAUACAUGUCUUGAAUUUAAUAAAUAUGGGUUUGCAUAAUUUGAUAUGCCAGAUGAUGAGCAGUUUUUUUAUGGUUUGGAAUUGGUAUACGUGUUAAUAUAGGUUUUACCCUUGUGCAAAAAUAGUGAAUUACUUGGUUGUGUGGUCCAAAAGUCUACUACCGUAGAAGUGACCAUUUUGGCUAGAAGACUUUUGGACGAGGUUAGGUUGGUUGGGAAGGUGAAUCCUCUAACAUUCAAAUCAAGAAGAAUUUGAUUACAAGAACAGUUGGAGAUGAUAGUAUGACUUAGUUUAUUUCCAAGAUCUUCUCUCUUGUAGUAAUCACCAAUCUGCUUUUGGAAUAAUUUUUUUUUUUAUAACUAACCUACUUUUAAAAAAUUCGAAUCUACCUUCCAUUGAAAAUGAAUAUAAAAAAUGUUAUACUUUACUUCUCACCUUUACAUGGCGUCAUCUGAGAUGACACCAUCAUCCAUCCAUUAGGAAUCAGAAUGGCUCCCUCUCAGAUGAUCUUUAUUGUAGACUUUUGUCUGUCUACCUCUUCAAUGAAGAAAAAGAGGACCAAGAAGAUGAAGAACCAAUAAUUCAAUAACAGAAGUUCACUCGUGUACCAAAACCUAAAGGAUGUGGUACAAGCAGACAUAGAGUAGUUCGAAAACCUAGAAAAUAAUGUAAUAUUUAUCUUUUAAUAUCUUUCAAUAACAGAAGUUCACUCGUGUACCGAAACCUAAAAUAUGUAUUGUUGGAACACUAGUGUAUAUUGGCAAAAACUUGGAGUAUACUAGUUGUUAUGAGGAGACAUUGGAAUGUAAACACAAUGAUGUAGAAACUAGUGUAAAGUGUGAAUUGAAAAUUUUUAUGUCCCACAUUGGGUAGAUCACACACUCUAGUAGUGUUUAUAUAUGUGGGAAAUCACUUCCAAGGGUGUCCCCUUGGGGUACCCACUUUUGGGAACGGAGUGAGCGCUAGCCAAAAAUUAUAUAAGCCACACGCGCGCACGACGACGCCGACCCACCGGGCCGGGCCGGGCUCGGGCUGGGCCUUAUAGAAAUAUAUUUUUUGGUGCUCAGAAAAUAAAAAAAUAAUUUUUUAUUUGCUCUCCGAGAUUCCCGCACGCGGAGGACCAAGUCUCACACGUUUUUCACACGCGCAAGCUUGGGUCGUGGGUGCCGGGUCGCGAACCGGGUCGACGAAGAAAACGAGGUCGAAACCUCUCUAUAAAUAGAGAGCUCGGGAAUGGGAUUCUUCACUCCAAAACCAAGAAUCGAAUCCUCUUCUCUGGUUUUCUCCCCUUCUCAUCUCCCUCGGUUUGUGUUGACGAACCGUUUUUUUCUUUCCUCCCUCUUUGGUUUCUCGAGUGGUCUACGUGCCAUAUUAGAGUGGUUUUUCGAAACUUUUCGAAACCAUACUGAGGUGUUAUUCUCGAGAGAUUUCUGGCAGUGCAGCCUUUAAUCUUACAGUUAGAAUCUGGGCUGUUUUAUCCUGGAGACGGCGCGGUUACUAGUCUACCUUGCACAACUCAGGUAGUGCCGCGAAACGUCUUAAAGAAAGCGACCUGGUCGUGACUCACCCCGGUAAUAGCUUCAUAAGCUCUGUCGUAAUUUCAAAUUACAAAAACAACAUGUAUUGCUUAAAAUUUGGAACAAAUUUGCACUGAAAAAUAUGUUUCUGUUAUUCGCUGCCAGCGCCCCAUCAUACCACAUUGCAAUCCCAUCGUGGCACGAUUUCUGUAAAACCUGAUUUUAAGUUAACUCUCACACUCUCCUUCAUAUUUAAUCUCGGAUCAAAAAUUGUCUUUUCAAAGUUUACACCAUAAAUGGAUAUUAAUCACCAUUCCAAAAUCUCUUACUAUUGUUGAUUUAGGUAUUGUGGAAUGAAAUUUUAUUAAAGUGAUAAUACUCUGACCUUCUUCCUUCUUAUCUUUCUUUAUUGAUUCCUUUGUGAUUGGAUGCAUCAAACUAUCCCCUUCAAAUUUCUUUUCUUGAAAUUGGAUCUUCUUUAAGGGUACACCAUAAACUCAUGUUUAUUCUCACAAGACAUGAAACCAACCAGCUUUCAUAACUAUGAACGGAGUGAGCGCUAGCCAAAAAUUAUAUAAGCCACACGCGUGCGCGACGACGCCGACCCACCGGGCCGGGCUCGGGCUGGGCCUUAUAGAAAUAUAUUUUUUGGUGCUCAAAAAAUAAAAAAAUAAUUUUUUAUUUGCUCUCCGAGAUUCCCGCACGCGGAGGACCAAGUCUCACACGUUUUUCACACGCGCAAGCUUGGGUCGUGGGUGCCGGGUCGACGAAGAAAACGAGGUCGAAACCUCUCUAUAAAUAGAGAGCUCGGGAAUGGGAUUCUUCACUCCAAAACCAAGAAUCGAAUCCUCUUCUCUGGUUUUCUCCCCUUCUCAUCUCCCUCGGUUUGUGUUGACGAACCGUUUUUUUCUUUCCUCCCUCUUUGGUUUCUCGAGUGGUCUACGUGCCAUAUUAGAGUGGUUUUUCGAAACUUUUCGAAACCAUACUGAGGUGUUAUUCUCGAGAGAUUUCUGGCAGUGCAGCCUUUAAUCUUACAGUUAGAAUCUGGGCUGUUUUAUCCUGGAGACGGCGCGGUUGCUAGUCUACCUUGCACAACUCAGGUAGUGCCGCGAAACGUCUUAAAGAAAGCGACCUGGUCGUGACUCACCCCGGUAAUAGCUUCAUAAGCUCUGUCGUAAUUUCAAAUUUCAAAAACAACAUGUAUUGCUUAAAAUUUGGAACAAAUUUGCACUGAAAAAUAUGUUUCUGUUAUUCGCUGCCAGCGCCCCAUCAUGCCACAUUGCAAUCCCAUCGUGGCACGAUUUCUGUAAAACCUGAUUUUAAGUUAACUCUCACACUCUCCUUCAUAUUUAAUCUCGGAUCAAAAAUUGUCUUUUCAAAGUUUACACCAUAAAUGGAUAUUAAUCACCAUUCCAAAAUCUCUUACCGUUGUUGAUUUAGGUAUUGUGGAAUGAAAUUUUAUUAAAGUGAUAAUACUCUGACCUUCUUCCUUCUUAUCUUUCUUUAUUGAUUCCUUUGUGAUUGGAUGCAUCAAACUAUCCCCUUCAAAUUUCUUUUCUUGAAAUUGGAUCUUCUUUAAGGGUACACCAUAAACUCAUGUUUAUUCUCACAAGACAUGAAACCAACCAGCUUUCAUAACUAUGAACUUUACUCCUCAUCACAACCUUCACCAUUAGAACUCCAAGCUUCAUAUUCUUGUAACUCUACAACCAUUGUAUUGAACUUCUCCUUUGUUUGUCCUUGGUGUUAGCAGUGAAGGUUCCAUUUUGAAUAUCAAACAAGUUGUCUAUUCUUGAUUGAAAUGUUUGUAUUCUUCUGGUUAUUCAUGGACAUCUUCGUGAAAUUUUUGAAUGUAUCGUCAGGAUUUUGUGUUCUAUAUUCCUAAGGAUUUUGUUGUAAUUGUUGGUUUCAAUGAUAUUGUUGAUAUGGGAGAAGCUGUCUAGGACAUUUGAGUUGUUACUCGUCUAAAAGUUGUUGAACUGGUGCUGAUUAGAGUAAUGGUCUUUUCUUUGUCUGUAUUGGUUUGUUACAAAAUUAAUAUGACCUUCAAGAGAACAAAUACAUGUAGAAGGAGGGUCUGAACGUAGCUCCCCAUUGCAUCACCUACUUCAUAUUCUCCUCAUUUAAGCUUUUGAUCUGUUGCUGAAACUUGAACACCUGGUUCUCUUAUAUAUUUUGACAAGCAAGAUGGUUUUUAAAGUUACAAAAGUUUAUAAGUCUAGGUUAACAUGAAGAUUUCGACAGCUAGUGAUUUCGACAGAUGUUGGGUUUCGAUUGAAAGAAAUUCAAAUUUUCACCGAGGAUGCAAGACCAAAGGUUCAGACACGUGGAAGGCAAACCAAAGUCGUCGAAAAGAUUUAGUUUCUAGUUGUUAGUCUGUUAGUUAAUUUUCUUAUGUAUAUAUAAUAGUUUUUCAUAAGAAAAAGAGGUCACAAAUCAUUAUCAAAAGUUCUUACACUCGAAUUAUUCAAGUACAGAGAGAGAAAAGAGUCGGAAUGUUUGUAACAUAGUCAUCAGGUUCGCGAUUUGCUCUGUACAUAGUACGAAUACGCGGUACGCGGUUUAUCAUCUAUCAAAAAUUUGGUCUAUUAGAGUUUGCAGUACGCUAUUUGAGUACGCUAUUUGAGUUUGCAGUACGCUAUUUGAGUUUAUCAUCUAUCAAAAAUUCGGUACGCUAUUUGAGUUUGCAGUACGUUCAAAUAUAACAAUCGGUACGUUACAAAUAAAAAAAUAUUUAAUUAACAAAAAAAAUUUGACUUUUUUAAAGAAUAAUUUCUUAAUUUAAAUCCUAAAUAAAUAAGCAUAUUUGUUAGCUCUGCCCCUUCAUAUUUUUCUUUAGGAAAAAAAAGACCCUGAACUUUAUAAGCCAACAAGAAGGGAAGAUACUACUUUGCAAGGUUAAAAUUUAGUCCCACAUCGGCUAAUUUUGAAACAUUGAGGGAUGACUUUGGCUAUAAAUAAAGAGUCUACAACAAUGGUCACUCUCUGAGUUUGACGAGUUCACGUUUUUAAGUACCAAAAUCGUAUAAAUAUGGUUUUUGGUAAAAUUGGAAAGUUUGACGAGUAUUGACCGAGUUAACACUCGGUAAACUCGUGUAAAUUCAAUCGAGUUUACCGAGCUUUACGAGUUUACAUCUAAAAAAAUUGGCCAUUUUGAUCGAGUUUACCGAGUUUACAUCUAAAAAAAUUGGCCAUAUUUUUGGGUCUAUUUUUUCAAAAUCCAAUUCCUUUUCUACAAGCCCAAAGACUGAACAUUUACUGAAUAGUUACAUUUAGAGUAACACGUUGUUCCUGAAAUGAAUCGUUUCUAUAUUUCCUUCUUCUAUAAGUUCUCAAACCAUGAACAUGGGAGCAUAUACCAGUUAGGGUUGCGACUCCGACGGUGGAAAUUCAUAUUUUGACGUCGGUGAUUACAACACUGGUUAGGAUUGCGGUGGUGGAGUUUGCUGACCUUUUGAAGAAAUUAACUAGUUUAUUUUUUAGAUAGUUUUAAUAACAACUUUAGGAAUUUGUGAAACUUUCUUUUUUGGAUGGUUUUAUGGUUCGGGUAUGCUCCAUUUAGUCCAUUUAGGCUUUGGAUGCAAGACAUGUGUGAGAAAAAUAAUGAAGGGUGGAGAUUUAAAAUUUUAAAAAGUAUCUUUUUACUAAAAAUCGCGUUGUACGUCUUCAUCUAAAAAGGUGUUCGAUUCGACGACGACGGCGAACGGCGUUUUGAUGACGGUGGUGGUUGACAGCCUUUUUUCUUCUUCCUGUUCUGUUUUCUCUCUUCCUCGCGUUUACCUUCUUCUACUUUCUCUCUCUUUCAACAGUUUUUUUUCUUCCAAAAAUUGGUUUGCCACGUGUCAAAUCGGUGUUGGCCUAUGGCACUGAAGUGCUGCCUGCGAUGAUGAGGGGAGAGGAGAAAGAAGAUAGAGAUCACUAACAAGGGAGGGGGAAGAUGAAUGAGGAGAGGAGAAGAAGAAUCAGAUUGCAGGAAUAGGGGAAGAUGGGAGGGGAAUGCUUUUUUUUUUUUUAGUAAAAUGAUAUUUUUUAAAAUUUUAAAUCUCCAUCCUUCAUCAUUUUUUUGACACAUGUCUUCAUCCAAAGCUUAAAUGGAGCAUAAUUGAACUCAUUUUAUUGAUGGCUUAAACCUAGAGAUUUAUGAAACUUAUGAUUUUGUGCGUUAAUUUUUGUAUUUUGAUGCUAAGUUGAGAAUAACUUUUUACUAGUAUAGUUACCCGUGCCAACACGGGAAAAUAAAAAACUUUUUUGAUCAUAUGUAUAGAUUUUAUAUUUUGUUAUCUUAAAGUUAUAAUUGUGGUUAUAAUUUAAAUUCGAUAUGAAAACAAUAUAAUCUUAAUUUUGUAUAUAUUUUGAAAUAUCUAAACAUUGCAUAUAACGAUAAAAAUAUUUUGAUUAUUAUACUUGUAUUAAUUUUUUGUAGUAUAAGAUGCACUCAUUGUAAAACUUAGCAUAUGUAAUUUUCUUGCAAAAAUACGCCGACGUACUGUGUAAUAAUAUUUGUUGACAAAACGUAUUUUAUUAAUCAUAAAAACUGAAAAAUAUGUAUUUUUUUUAUAUAAUAGUCAUUGUCACAUGCAUACACGUAGUCGGUAAAUGCAAACGUUUAAUUUUUUACGGGUGUGUAUAAAUAUAGUUUGGGCUACAGAAACGCUGAUUGUUAUUUGUUGUUAAUUUUUACAAAACAAAUGGUCUAAUGUAAAUAUUGUAUUUUAGGGUAACAAUGAUGUAAAAAAAAAAGGUUCAGCGGAUUGUUAAACCUGAAAAGUGCAUGAAUUAAUAGUCAAUGGCAGGAGGAUCUACUUAUAUAGAAAUUGCAUGUCUAUAAUGACCAGUACGCCUUACAAAGAAAUUAAAAAUAAAACGACUUCCAAACAAUAGGCAACUUUGGUUUUAUAAAUUAUAGCAACAACAAUUCUAAAACAUAACCAAUGAUCAUACUUUUUGAAAAACUUCACGAUACACAACAUUUGUGGUCUCCUUGCAAACAUUAUUAUCUUCAUCUAGGAUGAGCAGCUUCAGACCUUUUCUUGAAGUUACUUGAGAGACAGCGACAUAGAGUUGUCCAUGCGUGAACACAGGCUUAGGAAGAUAAACCCCCACUCGAGAUAAAGAUUGACCCUGACUUUUAUUUAUUGUCAUUGCAAAACAAAGCGUCAAUGGAAAUUGUGUUAGGAGUUCGUAGUAGACACAUCCUAAAAAGUAAAAACAUAUGAGCACCAAACAAAAAAAUGUGUUAUGAGAAAACGAAAUAUGGAAGAAAAGGACCAACAAAAUAUUCACUAACAAAAAAGUUCAGCUUCGUCUUCCGUUCAAGAAAGUUAAACCAAAUUCUAAAAUUAUCUCUCACAUGAUUAAUUUCAAGAAUAAAAUCAAUUUUUGGUUUCGGAGUCAUUGAAAAAAAUGACAACAAUAAAAAUUGUUGAAAACAUUAAAAACGUAAUACUUUAAAAGAAUUUAGAAUUUUCCCUCAAUAAAAAAAAGAAUUUAGAAUUCAUUGAUUGAAUGUCAAAAUGGUGAAAGAGGUAUCCUUAUUUAUAGGGAAAAAUUCAAGCAACUCAGUGCUUUUUUUUUUUAUGAAGUAACUCACUACUAUUGUUUAAUCCAGAAUUUGCUUCAUUGAUUUAUUACACCAUGUGAAAAGUGGAAAGAAAAUAAAACGUUUGAGUUAUUGUAGUUAUUUCAAAGCCAAUUUGAGAAUGCAAAUUCAUUUGGCAUCAUUGAGUGUCAACUUUAUAAUAAUGACAAAUUAGUAUAUUUGAUACGUUAAUUAUUUCUUUCAAUUAAUGAUAGUUAUAUGUUUCCAUUUGUAUGAGGCUAGAAGUAUUGACCCGAUAAAUUAUUUUAGAACGAAUACUAUGUUAAUUAUGUAGUAAAAAAAAUGGAGAUUAAAUAAUAAAAUUAAAAUAACAGCAUUAAAUGCCAAAUGCACAAGAAUGUUUGUUUUAGUCUAUGACACCACGUGUCAUAACCAAGUUCUAAGAGGAGUAUAUAAUAUAGGCUAGAACACCCAUUGUACUCUCUAAUUAUGUACCAUUUUACUUAUUAAAAUUCAAACAUUUAAAUGUUCAAUUGUCAUUCCCUUUUCUUUUGAUAAUACUUUUUUUAUUAUGAUUUAAUGUGCACUAUGAUUAUAGAAAUCAAUUCAUUUUUUUUUAAUGAUAUUCUUAAUAAAAAAAAACUAUAAUAAAAACACUAAAAUGGAAAUUUCCACAACUUCAAUUUAAAAUUUGAGGUAGACCAUAUAUUUUUCGGCUUCAGGUAUGCUCCAUUUACCUAAAGCUCAAUUUAGUCUAUUUAGACUUUGGAUGCAAGACAUGUGGCAAAACAAAGAUUAAGGGCUGAGAUUUCUUUAAUAAAUAAAAAAACAAAUUAGUGUCCCUCAGCUUAUGUUACAUAUUCUACUACUCUCCCAUCUCUUGUCAUCAUCGUCCACCUCCACCUACCACCACACAGCCACCCAUCACUGUCAUCCUUCCCCUUUUAAUUUCAAUUAAUCAUCAAUGAUAAUUUUAAAACAUGGAACAGCUUGUUUAAUUCAUCAUUCACGCAUCAAUUUUUGUAAUUGGUGAUGAAUAUUCCCUUAAACACAUCAAAACAUUGUUAUUUUCUUCAUCACUGUCAAAAUCAAUUGCUACGGUUGAGAAGACAUCAAACAGUAGUCGCGGUUGAGAAGAAGAAACUAAUUUAUUUCAAAAGAUGAGAAGAACAAACUAAUUUAUUUUGAGUGGUGGUUCAGCGGUGACAGCGAUGAAGACAUCAAACAACAACGAUGACGGCGACAUGGUGGAGGUUGUCGGUGAGAGGGAGAGGAAGAGUGGUGGUUGUGGGAGAAGAAGGGAACGUGAGAAGAAGAAACUAAUUUAUUUUAAUUUAAUAAAUAAUACUUGUAGUCUUGUAUUCUAUUUUAAAUCUCAGCCCUUAAACUUUAUUUUGCCACAUGUCCUACAUCCAAAAUAUAAAUGGACUAAAUGGAGCAUUAGGUAAAUAGAGCAUAUCUGAACUCAUAUUUUUCUCCCGUUUCAAUUUUAAAUUAGCAACCACAUAAUAUCACAAAAUUAUUUCUCCAUACUUCGAUUUAUUCUUAUUUGUUUUAAGAAACUCUCUUAUUUAUGCUUUGGAUUGCCAAGAACUUGGUUGGUUUGAUGAUUUUUUUUAAGGAUUAUUUAAUUAUCAAUUGGUUACUGAGAAUAGUAGAAACCUGAACUAAAAAUGUGAUGAACAGAUGUAGCGAGUCAUUGAAGAAACAUGAAAAAGAACUACAAAUUAUGAGAUCUAACCGAACACAAAUUACUGUUUUUUUUGAGUUGUUCAACAAUGUAAAAUUAAUCCUAAUGGAUGACAUGAGGAUCAAGAGUAAGACACAAAUAAGAGAAUGAGACCUAACUAUAUAUUCUUGAGUAAUUUAAAAUAUUCCGUGAAUUUGUUUUGUGAUUGGAGCAUUUAAAAGUUUAUACGAUUUGUUUACCUUUAAUGCAAUUAAUUUAUGAGUCUUAUUUUUUAUUUUUUAAGAGUAUGAGUCUUAUUUUUGAAAAAAUAAAAGAGAGUUUUUUAUUAUGAUGAAUUAAAGGUUAUUCAAAGACGAUUGGCUAAAAAAGGAAAAUUUAUUGUAUAUUAUUUAAAGCAUAUCAUGAAUUUAUUUUUUAAGAUAAUCUUGAUUGGAGCAUGGCAAAGUUUCUAAAAUUUGUUUACAUUUAAUGCAAUUAACCUAUGUGUUUUAUUAUUGAACAAAGAAAAGAAAAUUGUUUUUAUGUUGACUUGAAGGAGAUCGACUACAGAAAAUGAUAAAUAUUUGAAUUAAUAAAACAUAUCUCGUACAUUAAUACAUACACAACUAUAAAAAUGUAAAGAUUCAUUAAAAUAUAGAAUUUUACACAAAAAGAAUAUACAACUUUAAUCAAUUUUGUAGGAUAUACAACUGCACACUUUUUUUCUUAUGAGAAAUCACUCUAGUAUAUAACUUCUAUCUUUGAAUGAAUAUAUGACUUAAAAAAUAGAACAAAUCAAUGAAAUUUAAUCAAUACCAAAGAUUAAUAGGUCAAAGAGCAACCCACAUAUACAACCCGUUCCUAAAGAACAAGAAACGAACAAAAAAAGAGGGGAAAAUAUUCCACAUUAAUCAAAUAAAAAAAAGAAUUGAUAAACGAUAUGAAAAUAAUAUAAAUUUUGUUGGGAUCUAUGUACCGGAAAGAAUUAUGUUGAUCUUUAAAAUGUAAAUAGAUCCCAACUAAAAUACAAAUUUGUGAUCUCCCCUUUAAACAUGAAUUUUUUCACCCUAACUGUGUUCUUUUUCAUAAGCUUGAAUCUUUUCACCCUAAAAAAACAAAACACCUUGGUUAGAGACAUGAUAAGAACACAAAAAACAGCAAUACUUAAACUACUAUUAAUGAUUAUUAUUAAAGAUCGAGGUUUUUGAAGAACAUUGCAUAAACCAUUGAAUAUCAUUUUUUUUGUUUUUGAGAGAACCAUUGAAUAUCAUUUGAAAAUCAAGAUAUUUCUAAUUUGCAUAAACUAUUAGCAAACAACGAUUGAACAAAAAAAAGCAAAGAAUUGAUAAAGAAAAGUGAAUAAACAGUAGAAGUAGUGUGAAUUGCAAUUUCCUCUCGAAUGCCACUUACCCAUUUAGCAAGUCCGUUAAAUACAAUCAACUGAAAUCAUAUUUUUGUAACAAAAAAAAAAAACUGAAAUCAUAUUUUUGAUAUUCUUUGCCAAUCACCCAUUUAUGAUAUUCUUUGACUAAUGAACUAAUGAUACGUUUUUAAUUCCAAUUAAAUAGCUCCAAUUCCGAUUUUUUUUUCUUUCCUAAAAUAAAGAUUGAACAAUUCAACAAAAUUUAUUCAAAAAAAAGAAUCAAUUUAAUGAAAUAAAAAUGUGAUUUACAAAGGUUCCUGAUGAUCAAUAGAAAAGAAAACAGCUGCAACUUUGUUAGUAGAAAAGGGAAGAUUUGGAAACUUGAGCUUUAUGCUCUCAUAAGUUAAAUUCAGGAUGAAAUGAAUCAGCUUAUACUCUGUCUUGUUAAAUUGUUUGUGAAUUUAAAAAUCUUGUUAUAACGUGACUAAUAAUUAUCAUGUAUGUUAUAAUUGAAAUAUUACAUUAUAUAAAACAAUCUCGUUAAAAUUUCAUUAUUUAAUAUCAACUAUAUUAUUAUAUCAUAUAUGUUAAUAUAUGAUUUAAUAUCAAUAUUACAUUAUAGGAUUUUUUUUUCUUUCAAAAAGAAAAACAUUACAUUACACGAUUAUACAAAUAAUAUAAUAAUACAAUAUAAUUGAUGUUCCAAAAAAAAAAAAAAAAUACAAUAUAAUCGAUAUACAUGGUUCCAUAUAUUAAUUAGAAAAAUUAAUACACAAAGUUACAAUAUUGCAAAUGCUUGAGAAUAGAACAAUAUUAGAGUGCCACAUGUCGUUAGUUGAAUGAAAUUCUAAAAUAUUGAAAUGUGGUGACACAUGUCAAGAAUAGAAAAGAAGAAAAUUAUUUCCAUUAAGGGACAUGGAAUAGGUCCUAAAUUUAUAUUAUAUAGAUAUAGAUGCCCUCCUAAUAGCCUUUAUACCUCCCACCCAUAUAACCAUUAAAACCAUUUCCAAGGAGUAAGGAAGUUGAUCCCUUUUCAUAUCCCUCACAAACCAAAGGCGGACGACUCGAACCCUGAUAUUUCAGUUUUCUUUGGAAGGGGAUAUAUCAGAAAUCAAGUCAAUCUUUGGUGCCAUUUCAGCUUAACCGAGAGAUACGAAAAUUACGCAAAGAAAAAGAAAGGAAUAUGAAAGACAACUGCAAAACAGAAACUGUGGUGUGAAGAAAGUGUUGGCCAAUAGAUCUAAUUUAUAAUAGAUUUUAGAGGACAAUUAAGUAAAAAUUUAUUAUCAAUAUGUUCGUAGCCUUUUUCAAAAAAAAAAAUGUUUGUAGCCGAAAAUAGAAAAUCAAUAGGUCAUAAGGUUUUUUUUUUUUUUUUUGUUCGGAUUACAAAGAAAGUUGCUCAAUAGGUUGUUUAGUUUAGAAAAUUUUAAUCUGAUUUUAAUAUCAAUAAAUUCCAAUAACCCGUAUUUAUUUGGGUCAAAUAAAAAAGCUACAAAUCAAGAGCAAAUAAUAUCUCUUGCAAUGUUUAUUCGAGAAAGUUUCAAUUUGAUUUAUAACUAACAAUAAAUUCCAAAACCUAUUUAUUUUCGGUCAAAUAAAAAGAUGAACACAUCUAUGAUAAACUAAAAAAUCAACCUAUUUAUUUGGGUCAAAUAAAAAAGCUACACAUCUAUGAGAAAAAUAUACAAUUUGAUAGGGUAUCAAUCGGUCAAUGUUACAAUAAAAUUUUGUAUUAGAUAAACUAUUAUUAAAUUUAUAAAAUAUAGAUUUUACUACUAAAUAAAAAAAAAAUUCACGGAUUGGCAAAAAAUAAUCAAUUUGGUAGGGUAUCAAUAGGUCAAUGUUGCAAUAAUAUUUUGUAUUAGAAAAACUAUUAUUAAAUUUAUAGAUUUCAUUGGUUCACAAAAAAAAUCAUCGAUUGGCCAAAAAAAUAACCCGUAUAACAUUAUUUUUGUUUUGUUUUGUUUUGAAUAAACACUAUUAUACGGUAUUGUUUUGAAUAAUAAGUGUUUUUUUCUAACAUUAUUAAUAAAAAAAAAAUAUUAAAUUUUAUAUUAAAAGUGUAACUUUUGCAACUUUUAAGAGAUUAAAUGCACAAUUUUUUUUUAAAUUAAAUUUUAUAUUAAAUGUAUAACUUUUCCAUAUUUGUUUUACAAUCAUUAAAAUUUAAAAUAUUAUAAUAGCUCACAUUAUUAUUGUGAAUAUAAAAAUGAAACAAUUUUACAUUUCAUUAAAUUCUUUCAAUAUCAAUACUUUUAAUCAAAUCGUAUUUUUUAUUAUUUGACAUAUAUCAAUUAUUUGAUCUCUUUGACAUUAAAAUAUUUAAAUUUUAUUAUUUGUUUUAUUAUAAUACCUGAAAUUAAAUAUUUAAAUUUAAAUUAUUUGAUUUAAAUCCGUAUUAUUUGAAUUCAAAAUGUUUGAUUUUUAAUUUGAUAUGAAAUAUUUGAAUUAGAAUUGAAUUUGAAUUUGAAAAACUUCCUUUUAUUCAUAAGCAUUAAAUACAAAUUUGUGAGGUUGAAUGUGGUGAGAGUAUUUGUGAGGAUGAAAGUCGUGAGAGUAUUUAUAAAAACUCAUGAAAAUGAAUAGGUUGAGAGUGCCACGUGUCAUAUGAAUAGGUUGAGAAAAACAUUUCCAUAUAAAGCUAUGAAAUAGGUCCUAAAUUUAUAUUAUAUAGAAUAUAGAUAUAGAUUAUGAUAGUUUGGUAUAAUUUCCAUUUCUAAUUAAGUCAUAUUUUACACUAUUGACCUAUUUAUAAUAUUAUAUUAACUUAUAUAUGUCAUGCAUAUAAUAAAUUUUAUUUAAUUUUAAUUUUAGGUAAACUCGUACGAAUUCACAAGUCGAGUUUACCUAGGUAAAACGAGUUAAGAUAAAGUCUCGAAUUAUAAAACCUUGGCCUACAAGAUUUAGAGGCACAAGCAUCCACUGCAGUGGAUAGGUGGGAUCAGUCAUGCAUUACUUAUUUUAAUGUAAUGCAUAGGUCUACAACUAUGUACAACAGCUCAGUAAAAGAUUAGUUUAAUUAUUAUUUCUUUUUUAAUUUGCUCUGGUUUCCAGGGUUCGCCGUUUUCUCCGAAUUUUGAGAGAAUUUUGAUGAACCGGGUUCUUUAAAGAACUUUGAACCGGUUCGCGCGAACCAAUUUGUGUUUCCCUAGGUAUAAGAGCAAAUUAUGUUACUAUGGUAUACAUGAUUUGAUGUACCAUUUUCAUUUCAGCAAUGCAAUUUACUUUCUUUUGAGUGUGUUUGGUUUGCAAAACAGCAAGUAUUGGACAGAACAGUACAUGAUAGAACAGUACAACACAAGGCAAAACAGCACAGGACAAAUUUUUUAUGGCAUUGAGUAAUUUUUUGUUUUAUACAAUUUUGAGGGACAAAAUGUUAUUUUGGUAUUUUAGACAACUUGUACGUGGGACAAAAAGUUGUGCUGUGGUUUGGUGAGGGACAAAAAUAUGAGUUUUUGUCCUGUCUCUUGCCUCCAGUUUGUCCUGUACCUAAAACAGUUUUACAAAUCAAACACUGGACAACUAUAGUUGUUCUGUCAUGUCCUUCAUUUUUUAGCAAAUCAAACGCACCCUGUCCUUCUUUGCUUUUAAAAUUCUAAGUCUUUUAGUAUUUUAAUUUAACCACCCUGUUACUUUCUGUCGAAAGAUAGUUAUUCGCAUAUCAAGACAGUUUUCUUCAUCUUGUUGUUCAUAAGCAAACUCAUGAAUAUGAUGAAUAUUCAUAAUUUUUUGAAAAAUCAUUGCACAAUAUAUCCUAAGAUUUCUAGUUUGAUUUUGCAAGUAAUAUUUUAAAAUUAGUCCUGGUGUUUACAAAAAAACACCGGUAAACACCUAGUUGGAUAGUUCUUCCAUAAGAUUGGUGAGAGCCUUGAUAUGGGCCAAUAUAGCAUAAUUGAGUGAUGAUACAUGUACCACUCCAUGUGACAAUACACCCUUUACAUCCACACAAAAUUCUGACACGUGGCAACUUGGACCCCACACAAAUAGAAUAUAAAGUGUGGUUGUGAGAUGAACUUACCAAAAUAUCCCUAAUACAUGGAGUGUACAAUAGGGUGUAGGAAUAAAUGGUGUUCAUGUAACAUUUUUCAGCAUAAUUAGUAUCAAGUUGAAUGAUUGGUAUAGAAGACGUUUUUACAAAACAGGUGAAACCGAGACCAUGAAGCGUCUAAUGUUAGUUGACUAAAUGCAAUGGAUUUUCCAAACAUGGAUUACUCAAAUACCUUUUUCUUUGUUCUUGGACUUAACCCAUUAGUAGAUUGAAAAAGAGGUGGAAUCCAUCAACAAAAACAAUAUUAAAAAUGUAAACAACUUAACAGAUUCAAGAUGUGCCCAGAAAAUAUCUUGAACAAUUGUAAACUCUCACAGCUCUACACUUGUAAAAAUAGUUGUGAUCAUCCAGAUAUUUCACCGACAGAUUUAACUCUUAUAAAUUUUUUUGUACCUUUGAUGUACAUUUUAAAUGAAGUUGCUUAUUACUAAGUUAUUUAGAUCUUCCUAGUUUUGUUUUGAUUGAUGUCAUUAGUUUUUGUACAACACCCGUUCAUUCUAGAUUACAAGCUCCAUACAAGUUUGGUGAUCAAUUAUUUUCAUAAUUUCAUUUUUUGAUGUUUUGAUUCGAUUCAAACAUUGUCUUGCAUAAAUUGAAUCGAAUUAUUUUCUAUCAUUUACUCUUGGGUUCUUAUCCUACUUGAUUGAUUCUAAUCAUUUGAAUCAAAGAGUCAAAUGAAUCGAAUCAUUUUUAAUAAUAAGUCUUUUGAUUCGAAUCAUUUUCCUAUAUGAAAUUGUGAUUUGAAUCAAAUUUAUGAUGACUCAAAUCAAUCUUCAUCUAAAAAUCACUGAUUCGAAUUAUAGUUCUUGGGUAUCGACUCAAUUUUCAUGGCAACUCAGAUUUCAAAUUUUACCCUAUUGGUUCGAAUCAAGAUUUUUAACAUGUGUAUCGGUUGGAUUCGUAAAUUGAAGCAAUCUUUGUCAUCAGACUCCGUAAACAUUCUCAACAUACUAGUGGAAGACCGGAUGUAUUUUUCACUACCAAGUGAGGAUGUUUCCCAUAGCAAGGACGAUUGAGGGACCUCUAUACAGUAGUGUUUUCCUCUCCAUUCUCUAUAUUUCUUGCAAUUUACAAAUUGAUGGAUAUAUGUUAAUUGUUGAUUAGGUUAAUUGAUAUUCUCCAAGUGAUUGAACAAUCUGAAACUCAUUUUUUCAACAAGUUUUGUAAACAUUUGAUAUUUCAAUCACUUUGCAUAUUGAUAUUAACUUUUCAAUUUAAUCAUCAUAUAUCAAAUUCUAUUGGUUUUUUAGAUAGUCUUUAUUUUCAUACAUUUAGGUUUGGUUUGAGGUUGAAUUAUGUUUUGUACCUUUAUUGGGUAAUAAUAAUUGAUUAGGUAAUAAUAAUUCAAGUGUUUAAAUUUGGAUUAUCAUUCUCACUGCUUACUUUUUUCCCUUUUUUAAUAAUUUUUUUUUAGAUUAACGACAUAGGAUGGAGGUUCAUCAGGGUGCCAACUUAGUUGGGAUGUCGUUCUUUCCUCUCGAUGCAUGUCCUCUCUCCUGACUUAUCCAAAAACACACAAAAAAAAAAUAGUCAAACUUGUGUUUCAAGAAAAUUUUCAAAUAAGAUUUAUGUGCGAAGAAUUUGGUUGGGCCAUAUUCCUUAUGUCAUUAACAAUCACGUUAUCUUCCUCAUUUUAUCUACUAGGAAGAAUACUACCUUCUCACUUUGUCUCUAUCAGAUGAUUGUACACUCCAUUAACAAUACUCACUGACCAAUCAUUUGAUUUCAAAAAAUAAAAACAUAACCUAAAUGAACAUGCACAUUUCUUUAAUGAUGUGUCUUCUUCUCACAUCAAUUUCUUCUUGGUUCCAUGGUACAAACCACCCAUUUCAUACCCCCAAGAUUAACUUAUGUGGUCUUCGUCCACCACCAUGAUAGGAUUUGUCAAUAAUUAAGAUAAAUCUGAUCAUUGAUGCUUGCUGACGAGCCCAGUUAUUCAAAUCACCUCUAACUUUAUAUCUCAAAUUUGUCAAAACGUGUUUCCUCGUAUCAACUUCAUCAUAAACAAGUUUAGAAACAAUGUGCUUAAUAAUGUUCUCUUUAUAAUCAAUAUUUUGUUUCAAAUCAACAGAAACCUCAACAUCAUUUGAUUUCACAUCAACGAAAGACUCAACAAUGUUUGGUUUCAACGAUAACUAUAAAUAUUAAAAUAAAAUAAAAUAAAUAAAAUAAAAUAAACAAAACUAACUUAUAAUUUACAAAACAUCAACAAAAUGUAAUUAAAAUAGUGGAAUUAGUUUGCUGAUUGGUUCAAGAGUUAAGAUCAUGGUUCGGGUAGUAACUCUGAAAAAAGAAGAAGAGGUUCAUGUUAAACAAAAUAGAGAAUCAUCAAUGUAAACCGUUCAAAAGAUGUAAUAUAUGUUCUUUGACAUCAAAUGAGUGUAGAAAUCAUUUACCAAUCCUUUAAUGAAGAUUUGUUACUCUUUUUGAAAAGAAAAAAAAAAUUGAACUUUGACGGAUGAUCAAAAUGGAAGGUAUAGUGCAGGGGAUAAUGUGUAGUACAACAAGCUUAAUGCCUGAUAUAUAUUUAGGGGCGGAACCAGACAUAAAUUAUUACUGAGGCUAAAAAAAUUUGGUCCAACACUAAAUUUAAUAAUGUUAUACUAAAAACAGUCGUCACAACUAAAUUUACAAAGAAAAUAGUACAUCUUAUAUUUGUUGAAAUAAAAAAAUGAGAUAAAAUAAUAUUAAUACUAAUUGUUUCAAGAACACCUCUUUCUAUCGAACACCUCUUUCAAUAACAUCAAUAUUAUUCUAGGAAUUAACUAGAAUCAAGAAUAUCAUUACCAAAUCAAAGACCAUUAUAGAAAAUAGAGUGUAGAAUAAAUCGUUUCAAAACCGACCAAACAAAUCCCUAUUUAUAGAUGAUGAAAACCCUAGAGAAGAAGGGAUGAACCAGAGUUCUAAAAUAAGAUUCAAAUUCAAAUAAAAAAUAAAGAGAAAAGACAUUGAAUGGAUGAACCUAGAAAUUGGAAACGACCUUGAAUCAGUGGUGAGAGAGGUAACACAGGGAUAUGAGGUGUGUUGGCUAGAAAUAUGAUAGUUGCGCCCCUACUCUCAUCAUUAUACUAAGCCUUUUUAAUUAAUUUUUCCAACACCAAAACAUUAAUUUUUCAUUUACUAUUAUUAUUUUUUAAAAAAUAUGGGCUGGUGGGGCUAUUAGGGCCGUACCUGAGGCAGAGCGAGGAAUGCGACCGUCCCAGACCCCAAAAUUAAGCAUGAAAUUUGGGCCUCGACAAAAAUGAAUUGGGGGUUCAUUAGGCCCCAAAAUAAUUACUUGAAUUUUGAAGGAAGGGGUGGUUAUUAGUAAUGAACUUAUUUCUUUGUUGACCUAGUUAUAUUAUACUGUGAUGGUAUAAUAUUUCCGUGAAAGCAUGCAUUUGGUAAAGAAAAAAGAAAAAGAAAAAAAAAAGUUAGAAUCAACAAAAUCACAAAAGGGGAACUUAAAUUUGUUAGUAAACGAGUAAAAGAAGAAACUCUUGAACAAUCUAAUAAAAAUUUGAACGAUGACAAUCUCAUCAAAGACCAUGAUAUUGUCCUUAAUGCUAGAGAUUGAGAUAUUCUUGAUGCUACAACCAAAGACAUUUUAAUUGAAAAAGGGCCUAUUAGGGAAUUGAAUCUCACAUUUCCUUUAGAAGAUUUGCAAAGUUACAAUUAUUGAAAACUAGUUGAGAUUGUCAAUGUUACAAGAAAGUUUGAAUGAUCUAGUCAUUUUAUGUAUUGAUAUGAUAAAACAUAUUGAUGUAGGCAUAUUAUUAAUGACUUUGCAUCUAGAAAUGCUCGUAAGAAUUAUUUUGUAUGAGCAUUUGAAUAUCAAAUAAAACUCAAUUUUUGUUAUGAAUUUUGAUGUUUUUGUUGGAUAAUAUAUUUACGUAGUAAAAAUUAACCUCUACAAGCGAAUUAUUUUUACACUUUGGAAAUUUAAACUUUUUAUAUAAUCAUUAUUUAGAAUUCAAAUUAUAGGUUCGUUUUAGGCCACCAAAAUCUUAUAAACGGUCUUGGUGACUAUAGCCACACUCAGCCUUGAACAAAUCCGCGCAUAUGUAUAUAUGCAAUAGUAGAUUGGAUCGUAACAUCUAAACUUGAGCGAAUGAAAGUUACUGUUAGAUGUGAUAAGUUCAGAACUUCUAAAAUGGACAUUUUUAGGAUUUUUAAGAGGAAUGUCACAUGUGAACAAAUUUUUAUUUUUUGAGGGAACACAUGUGAACAAUUGAAAAGUCCUCUUGAGCAAUUUUCUAACAUCACCAUCAAAAUCCAAAAAAAAAAAAAAAAACCGAAUAAAGAAAAGUCUACAAAAACAAAACACAAUAAUAAUGACACGUUUUCCUUUUGUUCACAAAAAUAAGAGCACAUAAUGUCACAACAAACUUUUCGGUCUUCGUACGUAUCCAUAAUGAGCUGUUAUACAUAAACCAUCAUAGGUGGUAUACACUAUUUUACACCCACACACAUUUGUGAUAUGUGGCAAAAACAUUGAAAGAAGAGAUGAAAAAGGGUGAGGAUGUGAUGUGAAAUUACUAAAAUACCCCUAACACAUGAGGUGUAAAUGAGAGGUGUAUAAAAAAGGAUGUCUACCUAUCUUUUUCCUUUCAUAAUAAUGGUAAUAACAAACUUCCUUACUUAUAUCAUCCUAUAAAUAAACUCAAUCUUUCAAGGACGGAUAUGGCGAGGGUGCACCUCUCUUUUUUGUCGGAGACUCGCAUAUUUUAAAUAUGAAGAGUUUGAAGUUCGAACCAUAAUCUCUGCUUAUUAUUGUGUUUGUAGUUAUCGGUUGAGUUGUGCUUACAUGACAGUAUUAUGUUAGUAAUUAUUAUAAACAACAUAAUAUAAGUUGUUAGAGAGCAAUAAUUAGUAAUAAACAACAAAGGCAAACAAAGUAUUUCUUCGAAAAAAAGGCAAACAAAGAAUGUUGGCCAACAAAGGAAAAGAAACAAAACCAGGAACACAAUUAUAUAUAAUUUUUUUUUUUUAUAUCAACGUCUAAAGAUAACCCAUGUUUCACCGAUAGGUCUGCCACUUGAUAUGCUUCUCUUAAAACAUGAUUUCAAUCAAUGAGUCGGAGUAAAUAUUUAUACGUUCAAGCAAGGUCGGCUCAACAGAUUAAGAGGUCUAAAGCAAAAAUUUUAAUGUGGCCUUUAAAAAUAUAUAUUUUUAACAGAAUAUUUAUAUAAAAUCUAUUUUGUUGAGAUUAAAAUUUGAAUUCAUGACCAAUAGUAAUUGAAGCAUUUUUUGUAAUCAAUUAAGUUAUGCAAAUGCAUGUAAUUUAUCUAUGAUAUAAUAUACUUAUAACCAAAUUAAUUUUUUAGAGGUCUUUUUUUUCGUCCAAAAUUUUGAGGCCUAUAGCCCUUGCUUGGGUUGCUUGGCCCUUAAGCCGGCCCUGCGUCCAUGCUUUUUCAAAAUAACAGUAUAUCUUAUCUUAUUGUUGAUUAUAAGGUUGUCAAAAUUAAGAUUUUGCUUCCGAUCGAAAGGGAAUAGCAGAAUCGAAAAUCAUAAAAUUGAAAUCGAAGGAUUUAAUUUACUCAACUACUAUUGUUGGAAUCGAAAUAUGAUAUCAAAAUAAAAAAUCAUAAAAUCACAAUUAAAAUUGAUUGAUUCUACCUACCAAAACAAAAUUAAUAUUAAAUAUGUGUUAUACAUAUUGCAUAUAGUCAUAAAUAACUCAAAAUUUCAAGUUCACAAAAUACUUAUACAAAAAUGUGUAAAACUUAGAUGCGAGGGAAACUUGCAAUUUUAUGCAAAGAUUUAUAUCGUGAUUAUGACAACAAUAGUUGAUUAAUUGAAAUCAUUUUUUAUUAUACGUCUCUCUUUUUUUUUCCUUUCAAAAUGUCUCUCGUUGUAUAUCUCCCAUAUAAACACCUGUAAAUAAUUUAAAUUGAAAAAUGAGCAAUACUAUGCCUAUAAUUUAAUUGUUAGAUUCAUUUCAAAGCAUUCAUGAAUUCUCUUUCAAUACUUAAAAAGGAUAGGUAAGUAGUGGACCAUCAUAACGAGUGGCGAGCCUAAAAAUAGGUAGAUUUAAAUCAAUUCAAGGUUCUAGUCAGUUAUGAAUGUGAUUGAUCACACCUUCUUUUACUCUCUUUUUCUUUCCCUUAAUAUAUUACACACAUGCAUGAUCUCUCUUCUACUCAACAAAGCAAAAACACACAUCCUCACUCUUUCUCCCUUUUCAACUUUAAUUAGAGUCAUAGCCACCAUGGCUUCAGAAACCAAACCACACCUUCCAUGGAAGGUGCGCUUCUCUACUUCCAUCCUCUCCGCCAUAAGCGAUAUCACCGGUGGUUCCAAUGGCACCAUUAACUGCCAUCUCCUUAGCUUCAUUGACUAGAAAAUGUCAUCCAACCCUAGUUCCAAAUCCAUCAUCGACGUCUCUUCCUCUGAAGUCGUUGUGGACCCCACAUGUAACCUUUCGUUUCAUCUCUUCAUUCCUUCCUCCACCACCAAUGCCAUAACUAUAACUAUGAUUAUUAAAAUAAAAUAAAAAACAAAUGGUUUUAAUAUGUUUCGUCCCUGUAAUUAGGGGUCAUUUAAAAAUUGGUCUCUGUAAUUGUUAAUCAUAGCAAAUUACCCUUGCAAAGUUUAAUCAUUUAAAAUUUCAUCCCUCUCCCCGCCUAAUCACCGCCACGUCACUAAUUUGAUGACAUGGAACUUCUUUUUAAAUUUAUAAUUUGCAAACAUCAACAAAAUACAAUUGAAGUAGAGAAAUCACUUUACUUGCUGAUUAGUUCGGGAGUUAAGAUCAAAACAUGAUUUCGGUCGUAACUUCUCAAAGAAAAAAAAAGAGGUUCAUGUUAAAACAAACGAGAGAGAAUCACCAAUAUAAACGGUUCAAAAGAUGUAAUAUAUGUUUUUUGACAUCAUUGCAACAAUUCUUAAUUUCUAAUAGGUAAACAUGUUUUAUCGGCCAUCGCUUGAACUCCAACAACACUUUCGUGUUCCCCAUCUUUCUAAGAUAUGAAACAAGUUUUCAGACACUAUUUGGGACCAACCACCACACCAGAGUUUUCCAAUACUCACUUACCAUUCAUUUGAUUUCAUCAAAUAACCACACAACUUAAAUGAACAUUCACAUUUUCUUAACCCAUUAUUGUCUUCUCGCUUCAAUUUCUUCUUGGUUCCAUGGUACAUACCACCCAUUUCACACCCCAAGAUUAACUUUUGUGGUCUUUGUCCAACACCAUGAUCGAAUUUGUCAAUAUUUAAUGUUAAUUUGGUCAUUGAUGCUUUGAUGGACCCAAUUAUUCAAAUCAUCUCUAACUUUAUAUUUCACAUUUUUUUUGAAGUAUUUUGUUGCAUCAACUUCAUUAUCAACAAGUUUAGUAACGUUGUGCUUAAUAAAGUUCUCUUUAUAAUCAACAGAGACCUCAUUAUCGUUUGGUUUCACUUCAAUGAAAGACUCAUCAAUGUUUGGUUUCAAAUCAAGGGAAGCUUCAACAUUGUUUGAAUUUGGAUCAAGAGGGUGUUCAACAAUAAUAAUAAAUAUUAAAAAAAAAAUUAUAAAAAAAAAACUAAUAAUUUUCAAACAUCAACAAAAUGCAAUUAAAAUAGAGGAAUCAGUUUGCUCAUUGGUUCAGUUGUUAAGAUCCAAACUUGGUUCGGGUCGUAACUCUUGUAAAAAAGAGGUUCAUGUUCUUUGACGUCAAAUGAGUGUAUAAAUCACUAAUCAAUCAGAUGUGAUCGGUUCAAAGGUAUAAAUCACUCCCUUAUCAAAUGAGUGUAUAAAUCACUUUAAUUUGACCUUCCAUUUUGAUCCAAAGAAAAAUUUGAACUUUGAUGGAUGAUCAGAAUGGAAGGUCUAGUGUAGGGGAUAGUACAAAACCGGUGUCUGAUAUAUAUGUAAAAGCAGAUAGGAUUGUAACAUCCAAACUUGUGCGACAGAGAGUUACAGUUAGAUGUGAUCAGUUUGUAACUUUCAAAAUGGACAUUUUAAGGAUUUUGUUUAGGGAAAUGUCACAUAUGAACAAUUGAAAAGUCCUAUUGAGCAAUUUUCUAACAUCAUCAUCAUCAAAAUCCAAAAACUGUAUAAAGAAAAGUCUAAGAAAACAAAACACAAUAAGAAUGUCACGUUUUUCAUUUGUUCACAAAAAUAAAACCAUAGUAAUGGCACAACAAACUUUUCGGUCCUCUUACUUUCUUACAUUGCAUUGGUGCAAUGUGGACAGCUGACCUCAUUUGUUUUUUCAAUCAUAUGAUUGCUAAAUGAUUUGAGACUUAAUAAUAAUAAACUCAUUUGACAAUCAUUUUUUGUAGCAAUCAACAAUUAUAUGAUCGCUAAAUGAUUUUAGAUGACCUCAUUUAGCAAUUAUUUAAUGAUGAUUUGAGACUCUUGAUCUUUAGUCUAGUGGGUUCAAACGUUUUAAAGUAUUCUCGAUUUCAAACCUAACCUUGUAAUAUUGUCUUUGCAGCUAUCACCUGAAUUGUGCUUACUUGACACUCUUGCCCUAAUAAUUAUAAACAACAUAAUACAAGUCUAAUUUUUUUUUUUUGUAUGGCCUGAAGUUUGAACCCCAUACAUUACAUAUAUUAUGCAUUGUCCAUAUCAACUGAGUUAAGCUCAAGAUGACAUACAUCUAUAUAUUAUUGAGAGCAAUUAUAAACAACAAAGGCAAACAAAGCAUGUCGGCCAACAAAGGAAAAGAAACAAAACUAGCAACAAUGAUUUUUUAUUUUUUUUAAAUCAACAUGUAAAGAUAACCAUGUUUUAUCAAUAGGUAUGCCACUUGAUUUGCUUCUCUUAAAACAUGAUUCCAAUAAACCAACAGCGAGAUUGUUGAUUAAUUGAAAUCAACGUUACACUAACUCUUUUAUUUUUCUUUCAAAAAGUUUCUGGUUGUAUAUCUCUCAUAUAAACACGUGUAAAUAAUUUAAAGGCAAAUUCUAUGGUACAUCCAACCAUUUGAGUGUAUUGGUACACUAAAUCCUUAAAUUAAUAGUUAAAUGAGUGAUUUUUUGUAAGAAAAAAUUAUUUCUAUCACCUAUAAUUAUAAUAACUAAAUCUUAUUUACCAAAAACGUCAACGCAAUAAAAUUUGAUUUUUCUGAAUACUUAUUACUCAUAAUAGAUAAUUUUGAUUAUUUUUUACAAUAAAAUGUAAAAAAAAAUUAGUAUGAUUUUUAUAAAAAAUGAAAUGAUGUUUUUUCUUAUAAAAUGAUAUUUUCUAAAAUAUAUAUGUCAACAAACACCUAUUUUCUUCAUAAAAAAUGAUAGUUAAUUUAUAAAAAUUGUAAGUGAAAGUACCGAUAUACCGUAAUUUGCGGGUGUACCGUAGAAAUUCCCUAAUUUAAAUUGAAAAAUUGAGCAAUACUAUGCCUAUAAUUUUAUUGUUAGAUCCAUUUCAAAGCAUUAAUGAAUUCUCUUUCAAUACUUAAAAAGGAUAGGAACGUACAUAUAUUAUUGGACCACAACGAGUGGUGAGCCUAAAGUAGAUAGAUUUAAAUCAAUUAAAGGUUAUUGUCGGUUAUCAAUGAUUUUUGAAGGGACAAUUAUCGACGUGUUCACAUGCACCUUCGUUGAUUCUCUUCAUGUUUUCUUUCCCUUAAUAUAUUAUUACACGCAUGCAUGAUCUAUCUUCUACUCAACAAAGCACAAACACACAUAUCCUCACUUUCAUUAGAGUCAUAGCCACCAUGGCCUUAGAAACCAAACCACGCCUUCCAUGGAAGGUGCGCUUCUCUACUUCCAUCCUCUCCGCCAUUAGCGACAUCACCGGUCGUUCCAAUGGUACCAUUAAUCGCCGCCUCCUCAGCUUCAUUGACUGGAAAAUGCCUCCUAACCCUAAUUCCAAAUCCAUCAACGGCGUCUCUUCAUCUGACGUCGUUGUGGAUCCCACAUGCAAUCUUUGGUUUCGUCUUUUCCUUCCUUCCUCCUCCACCACUGCCACCACAAAAUCUUUGCCUGUUAUCAUAUUCUUUCAUGGUGGUGGCUAUGCAUAUAUGUCUCCCUCUUCUAUUCCAUACCACAUGCUUUGUCGCUUAUUUUGUCGUUCUUUUCCUGCCAUUGUUGUGUCUGUUAAUUAUGGUCUUUCCCCCGAACAUCGUUUUCCAUCCCAAUACGAGGAUGGUUUGAAAAUCCUUAAGUUCCUUGAUCAAAAUGUUGAUGUUUUAGGAAAAUAUGCUGACAUCAGCAAAUGUUUUUUGGCGGGUGAUAGUGCGGGUGGAAACUUGGCCCAUCAUGUGGCUGCUCGGGUUUCCUUAGAGGAUUUUCGGGUUUUGAAGGUUAUUGGACUGGUUUCGAUCCAACCUUUUUUUGGAGGAGAGGAACGAACUGAGUCUGAGAUUCGAUUGAAACGGGUACCCAUCUGUUCGAUGGAUAAAACCGAUUGGUAUUGGAAAAUGUUUUUGCCGGAUGGGUCAAACCGAGACCAUGAAGCGUCUAAUGUUUGUGGGCCUAAUGCAAUGGAUAUUUCAAAUGUGGAUUAUCCGAAUACUCUGGUGUGUGUUGGUGGGUGUGACCCGUUAGUAGAUUGGCAAAAGAGGUAUUAUGAGUGGUUGAGAAAAUCUGGAAAAGAAGUGCAACUAAUAGAAUAUCCAAACAUGGUUCAUGCUUUUUUUUACUUUCCAGAUUUGCCUGAGACACUUGACCUUAUUUCUAAAGUCAAAGAUUUUAUGAUCAAGCAAAUGGUUGCUAUGAAUUAAGGGGUUAAGCAAUUUGGAAAAAUAUCAAUCAUCAACUCCUUUUUUUUAUGCAAUUAACCGUGAAGUUAAAUAGUGGUAUGUUAUAACAAAAAAAGUGUAUAUUUCUUUGUAUCUACGUUUGAAAAUAGGAUAGCUGUGUUUAAAUUUAUUUAUGGAAUUGUUAUUGAUAUUUUGUAUUGUUGAUGUGAAAGAUAAUCACCCUUGCAAAAGAUUGAACUUAGUUGCCUCAAAGAUGAUAAUAUGUCUGAUGUGGAGAAAUAAACACAUUAUAGUACAUACUUGAAUUUGUGUCCUAUAACUUAGUAAGACUCCCAGCAUAGUGUAAAGGCAAAUUCUUCAGUACACUUGAAUUUUUUACAAUAAAAUUCGAGUGUAUCGGUACAUCAAAUCUUUAAAUUAAUAAUUCACUGACUUACUUUGUAAAGAAAAAAGUUUUUUCUAUGAUUUACAAUUAUUAUAAUAACUAAAUAUCAUUUGUUAAAAGUGUCGGCGAAAUAAAAUAUAAUUUUUAUGAAUUUUUAUUACUCAUAAUAGAAAAUAUUUACUAUUUUUUAUGACAAAAUGUAAAAAAUUAGUAUGAUUUUUUUUAUAGAAAAUGAAAUGAUAUUUUUUAUAAAAUGAUUGUUUUUAAAAUAUAAAAGACGAUAAAUAGUUCUUUAUUUCAUAAAAAUGAUUGUUAAUUUUUAGAUUUAAAAAGCAAGAAUACCGAUAGACCGUAAUUUGCGAGUGUACUUUUAGAAAGUCCUUGUUGUGAACGACACCUAUAUAUUAUUACAUAACAUAAUGCAAAACACUCUUCUAUUUUUCUGUUUUUCAUAUAAGUGAUGGUCGAAUUAAGUAAGUGUAUCAAAUCGUUUACGAAUUGUCGUCUCAUAUUCCAAACAGUUCACGUUAAUUAUUUUGAACAAUAAAAUAAUAAGAGUUUAGGGUUUAGAGAUUUGCAAUUUUUAUUUGUUUGAAACAGAACAAGUUACCUAUUUUGGUUGCAAAAAUGUUAGCGGCAGUUAGGAUUCUUUGAAUCCCCCUAUUCAUUUGUUUGAAUUAAAUAACAUUCAUGUUGCGUUCAGUUAUCUUAAGUGGACUAUUUAAGUGAUGAGUUCGUUGGGACGUGAUAACUUAAUCAACUGUUAAGUUGCACAUGAUCGUCGCACGAUGAUCCUUACAUGCGAGGUCUUACUCUCUCAUAGAUUUGGUAUAUCCCUUCGCCUAUCGAGUUUCACCAGCUAAUCAGACUAAGGUUAUACGUGUGCUACGGUGUAGAUUUAUAAAUACUAUAUGACCAGCCACCUUCGUAACGAUUACUAGUUUGGGGACUUACUUACUUAGGGGUGAUUGAAACAUAAAUUAAAGUUGGUGUUCCUAAAUUUCCAAAGGUAUAAUGGCCAUGUUCCUAAAGGUUUUCACAUCUAUGAAUCUUAGAAGUACACAUCACUCUCUCCCUCUCGGUAGUUCUACAAAUAAGAAGCCCUGUCAACGUCUACCAUACCAAGGUGCAAGGUGAAUGGAGUUACUAGGCGGAUUUAAGUCGUGAUGUCACUUGUUUCCUUAAUUACUAACUAGUUACCUCCUGCUUUCAGCAGAUUUUACUCAAUAUUAGUUAUGUCACCUCCUCAGUACUUACUACCAAGGUCUACUCGCUUUCGGUUUCUUUUCGCUAGUUAUUAAUUAAUUACUUCCUAGAUAGACAAAUAUAAAUAUCAAUAUUAGGUCCUAUCACUACCUAAAUGCCUAAACUAGGGUUGCGCUCCAGAGGAGACAAAUCUUACACACUACAGUAAAACUAAAUAGCGAACAAAAAAUAACUUAAGAAAAGACUAUAAAUUAAAUAAUUAUGCACCAAAUAAAACAGAGGUUCAUCUUAGAAUCCUAACCUUAAAAAGAUUCAGUUACCCAUGGUAGUUAAAAACAAAUUACAAAAGAAAAAAAAAAUUCCCUACAAAAACUUGGAGAGGAGAGAGAAACACCUCAUGUAAAGCUCAUAGUGUGUGUAACACCCUAAACCCUUAAAGCGAUAAAUCACGCAAAUAAUAUAAUCAUUCAAAGACUUUAGAUGCUACAUCUUCAAUUAAUCCAAAACAUGCAUAAUUAAUUUAUUUCAAAACUCGCAGCGGACUAACAUCAUAACAUCUCAUCAUCACAUAAUAAAACCAUGUAAGUAGUCAUGUCAUAUGUACCAUAAUACAUAACCAAAUAAAAUCUCAAAUCUCAACAUAAUGAGUGACAAAUCUCAUAAAGACAUAAAAAAAAACGACAAAAGACCGACACCCUAAUCAAAGUCCUUCAACUAGACUCCAAGCAUAAAGGAAAUGAGGUAGCUCCAAAGCUAGUCCUCAAGCAUACCCACAAGCAAAAGCAAAGCGACUAAUCCUGCAAGCCGUCUACCUAUACUUCCAAAUAGGCUGGCGGUCAACCAAACGACCACUGGGGGUUAGAUUAUUUUCCACAAAUAAUAUAUAAUCAAAUAGAAGUAAAGGGACAUAUUCAUUUCCAAAUGAUCAAUAAACACUUAAUUAAAUCAUUCACAAUGAACUUCCACAUCAACAAAUAUUCAUCAAACGUACAAGCAUAAUCAAGCAAUAUGUGCAAUCUCACCUUUUUCACAACUUUCACAAAAUCUCACAAAUGCACAUAAUCAUCAAUUCACAUAGUCAAGUAUGACAUAACUCACCAAUUAUCAAGUGAAUGCAAUGUUCUAGACUCUUCUAAAUGCAUGUGGUACCAAUAGGAUUCUAUAGAUAAUUUUACAGUAUUAAAUCCACACUCACGUAAGAGUACACCUCCAAGGGCUGAGGACAAAGAGACCAAAUGAUACGAUUGAAGCCCUUUUGAAUCGAAUCAAAUGCCUAGAAAUACAAUAUUUUCCACACAAAAGAAGUUUUCCCACACAAAAAUAAACUUGAUACAAAUGACACAAUGUGAAACGAAAUUUGUUAGGUGCUUUAACAUAAUUUAAUCAUUAACUACUAUAAAUAAUAAGCAUCAUAAAAGAAAAACGAGAAUCUAGCCUAAUUAAAAUCAUCCAAACACAAACGUAACACUAAGUGCAACUUCACAAACUACUUUCCAAGUGACCCACCCACCCCACAACACACACACAUGGAGAUGAAUUUGUAUUUUAAUACUCCUACACAUUUUUAAUACAAUUGGUAAAGUUCAUCACUUAAUCAAGAAAAAGUUGACGAAAAAAUGCACAAAACCCUUUUUUUUUAUUUAUGAAAAAGGGCCUAAGCCUAUGGCACAAACCUUUGAUGGACCUCAACUCUUCCACAAAAUUUAAGAAAAUUGAUGGUCAUACAUAUCAUAAGGCUGAGACACACGAGUAAAAUACGAAAUUGUUCCUAGGCAGUUAACUGCCGAGAAAUUCAAAAACUGGUUGUAGUUAAAUACUGAGAUUUUCCUCGGUAGUUAACUAUCAAGAAAAAUGUUUCAUCAGAUGAAACAACCACCUGCCCCUCUACACACUAUUUCAUCAUCAACUUCCAUACCACUCCCAUCUAAUCCCCAAAUUCAAUAUUUUUUCAUCAAAUCAUGCUCCAAAAUCAUUGAAGCAUCAAGCAUAGGAGGUAUCAACACACUUCUGACGUAAAAAAACAUGUAUUGAGCAUUUUAAUCAGUUGAUUUUUAGCCUUUUUUUUUAGUUUUUUACGUGAGUUUAUGAUGAGUCAUAUAUUAUCCAUUUUUAUAUGUUAUUUAGUUUAGUUUUAAUUAGAUUUAAGUUUAUUUUAUAUUAGUAUUAUUUCCUUUUUGAGAUAGUUUACUACAAAUUGCAUUUUAUUAUAUUUCAGGAACGAAUAUUGGAUGGAUUGAGUCUUGGAGCAAAAGAAAGGGAUUUGGAGCUGAUUCGGUACGAAAAUACGAAGAUUUGGAGACAAAAUAUGUUUCCCCAAAGUCAGAAGCUUGGCACGGCCGUGCCACCCUCCAUAAUCGCUUUUGCUGCUUUUGCUUAGAUUUUAAGCUGCUCUGUUUUAGUUUACUUGUGGAACAUUCUAGUGAUUGCUUAGAUUUUAAGUCGAAUGUAAACUAUAAAUAAAGUAGCUAGCCAUCACAAAUAUUCAUCUUUUGUUCUCUGAAAUAAUAAGUGACAAUUGUUUCUUUGAAUAAAAGUUCACCUUUACUUUCUUGUUAUUUACUUUUAUGUUUUCUCUCUUCUUCUCUAUGUCUACAAUGAACGUUAGUGAGUAGACUUCUUCUUGUCUUGGGAUUGUUGGAUAAGUCUAAAUGACAUAAUCCUAAUCAAACCAAGCUCUAAGCCUUAAUCUUAUGUAACCCUAAUUUCUUAUAUAUAUAUUCACCGCUUUAACAUGGAUCAACCAUUAUCAAACUUUGGAAACGAAAGUGGAGGGUUUGAUAAUUGUUUAUCCAUCAUCUCAAAUAUCAAUUCAUAAAACGAAAGUGGAGCUUUGAUAUUCGAACAAGUGAAUUUAGACAAGGAUUUCAAAGGCAGUGAAAUAGUCUUUGAAAUAUUUGAGACAUAUAGUUUUGAUCUUCAAGGGAACUAAUAAUGAUCAAGUCAGCGAAAUAGACUUGGUUGUUAGAGGAACCAAAAUCUAAUAGUAAUCAAGUUAGCGAAAUAGACUUGGUUGCUAGAGGAACAAAAGAGAAACUGUCUUGAGAAAUUAGGUCUAACAUAAAGUUAUAAGCUUAUAGUUUGGUUUGUGAAGGACUUGUCAUUUAGAUGAACCAAUAAUCCAAGGCUUUUAUCUUUUCAUUUAUUAUUUGCUUUUAAUUAAAAACCCAAACCUUUCUACCUUAUAAAUCUCCAGUCUAAUCAUUAUCUAAAGUUAAUUGAAUUCAUAACUCCCUGUCGGAACGAUACUCUAUUUUUACUACUUCGGUAAGACCGUGCACUUGCGGUUUUAUCCCAUCAGUUUACAUUCUCACUGUCAUGGGAAUCCUCGGAAGUUUAGUGCCGAGUUAUGGGAUCUUUUGCAGUUAACUGCCAAAGUAAAUUUCGGUAGUUAACUGCCGAGAAAUACCUGUGAAAAUUUUCUCAAAACGUUUGGAAAGGCAGCUACUGUCAUUUUUUCCAAUUUUUUUUUUGUUUUAAUUCAUUAUGGCAUUGAUGUUUAUGCAUUAGUUAGUUGUUAAUUCAUAUUUUUGUGUUGUUAAAUUAUAGUAAUGGUAGAGAACGCGGAAGAUGUUCCAGGAGAGACAAAAUCAAAUUUUGUCGCACCGCCUAAGGUUGAAACCAAACCAAACAUUGAUGGAGCUUCCGUCCAUGUUGAAGCUUCUAAAUAUGUUGACUCCCGUGGAAAGAUAGAGAAGAAUUGCUUGAGUGGGCACGUCGUCAAGCAAAUAAGGUGGGAUUUACAAUUGUUACACAAAGAUCAAGCUUGAUCAAUCCAAUGUUGCGCCUAGUGUGUGAAAGGAGUGGAGCUCACAAAGUGCCGGAAAAAAAAAAAAAAAACCGAAGCAUGCGACAACGGACUCAAGAAAAUGUGGGUGCUUGUCCAUGGUUAGUGGAUAUCUUAGUAGGAAAACAAAUGAAUGGGGAUUGAAAAUUCUUAAUGCAGUUCACAACCAUGCGAUGGAGUCGGCUUUAGAAGGACACAUUCUUGUCGGUAGAUUAAAGGAGGACGACAAGAAAAUUAUACGUGACUUGACCAAGAGCAUAAGAUGCUUCCAAGAAAUAUUUUGAUAAAUUUGAAAAACAAAAGACCACAUUGCAUGACAAAUAUCAAGUAAGUGUAAAAUAAACGUCAACAAAUAUGGAAGGCAAAUAGAGGUGACAAAUUUAUUAGGGCAAAUCUUACCGUAGUGUGUAAGAUUUGUCGCUACAUAAACUGUGAAAUGAUUCCUUCUCAUUUUGCCUUACAUAAACUAUGAGAUUAAGCCUAAAAAUAGUAUCAUCAUAUUUUUAUUGGGGCAAAUUUUUAUGGCACACAUUGAGCCAAGUUGGCUUAUCCUAUUAUGAUAAUCAUGUUUUAAGCAUUUUGAGCCUUAAUCUCAUAUGACAUGCAAAGGAGGAAAAUAGUGGUUCAUUUUUUUCUUGUUUUAUUUCCAUUUUCAUUUGUCUUUUUUUUUUUGGUGGUCGAGGAUUUAUCCCUUCUAAUUGAGUUAAACUCACGUGAAUUUAUUUUCAUUUGACUAUCUCUCUUGUUGGCGGGGAUUGUUGCUUUAUAAGAAUAAAAAGGUUGGGAGGAGAAUCUCUGACUCCAAUUUUUCUAUUAGAUUUCUUGACAGAUUAGGUCUAGCUUAGUUCCUAAAUGUCUCCCACCUUAAUCUAAACAUGAUUAAUUACAACCAAAAAGACCUCUUAUAGUGUGAGUUAUUUGGAACUUUAUAUUAUUGUAAAGUUUAUAUGAUUGAUAUCUAGCUUAUAGGUAUUGUUAAUUCGUGAAUACCAAGAAGUAACGGAUAUUAGACGAUGUGAUUCAUUAUUUAUUUUUUUACUUUAUUUUACUUGUGCAUAAGUGUCUAAACAUUUUUUAUUUGUUUUGUGGACACAACACAAGAAUUAAUGGAUGAAAAAGUUAUUGACAUGCUCAGCAAAAUUUGGCAUGGUAUUGGGGUUGGGUGGGGACGGGUUUUAUCUUCUCCGUUCUCAUAUUCUACUCUCAUAUACUUAUCCGUUACUCUAUCCAUAUCCAAUAGGGAUUAGCAAUCAAAUCGCUUUUUUGUCCCCGACGAGUUCUGUUAUCCCCGACCCGUCCUCAUCUCUGCAGUAGAUAAUGUUUUUCAAUAAAAAUUAAAAGUAUUUUUCAGCCCCAAGCGCAAUUUUAUAAUGCAUUAUCCAACAAAGAGAUGAUGAUGAUUAAUGGCUAUGGUGAUUGAGAAGAGAGAGGCUGAGAGUGUGAGCUAUGGAACGAGAAAAGAGAGAACUACGAUAAGUGAGUGUCAUCUUAAAGACUAAGACUCUGACUAUGUAAAAUUGGAAAACCAUCAAGUAAAUUUUUUAUAAUUAUUUAGUAGAUUGUAAAAUGUUAUUGACAUGCUUAGCAAAAUGUAUGUACUUGAGGAAAUUUAUUGUAAUGAUUAUACGAAAACGAAAAGGAAUCAUUUCAUAGUUUAGUGUAAUGAAAAUUAAAGAAAUUAUUUUCUAAUAAACAGAAGCAAAUUUUAUUUAUUUUAGAGGGGCAAGCAAAAGACAUGUUUAUUCCCAGUACACUCUUUAUAGGUAGCUAAUAACAUGCACAACCUUUAUAGAGCAACUAUUACAUUAUUUGAUACUAGAUUGGAGAUUUAUUUCAAACUAAAGAUCUUCAAUUUCCCAUGGCAUCAACAAAUACAACUUCAUAGGGAUCAUUAUUAGCCAGGACCAGAAGUCUUCCAGUAAAGUCAUCAUGCCUCCCAAUAUCAUAACAAGCACCAGGUGGGGCAGUGAUAUCUGGACAGAACACAAGCUUGUAUCCAAAACCAUGUUUCUGAAUUUUAAAGAAACCAUUUAUGAUAUGCUUACCUUCAUUAUCUUCAGUACCACCAAUACCAACCCAUGGUCCAGUUAAUUUGUUAAAAUCAUCAACCAACACCCACUUGGAGGAUUCAGCACAGUCGGGCUUUGUUGUAAAUGCGAUAUCAAGUGCUGUGUUUGUUGAGAUUAUAUCAUGGCCUGCUUCUAGCCUGGUAAACUUUACAGGCAGACCAUUGACAACCUCAGAAUAAUCUUGAAGUACAGUAAGUGGACAUUUUGAGUUUUUUGUCUUACCAAGCCUCAAUCCACCACCAGCUGCUCCAAAGAUUGAUGGCAUAAUAUAGAAUGUGCCACCAGGAAAAAUGGGGUUUCCAUUUGUGUCAAAAACUUGUUCAGAAACUUGUGCAAAAGCUAAUGAAAAGCAGAUGGUUAAUGCAAAGAGGAUCAAAGAAAGAGUAAGGAAUGUAGGCUUCAUUGUUUUCAAUGGAUCAAUCAAUGUUUGAUAUAAAUUUGAUUGUGUUUGUUUUGCAAUUGGUGCAUGGCUCAACCCUCUAUUUAUAGACUUGUUGUAAGAGUAGCUUCGGCAUUAAUUUGAAUAAGAAAUUGUCCAUCCUUAUCUGCAUUUUGAUAUAAAUAGUAUAUAUGAAUGUUAAAAUCAUCACAUGCAAAAUAUAAUAAACUAAUGGUCCAAUUUUGCAGCCUUGGAGGUUUUUUUUAUCCCAUGCAUGCAUACAACAUGGUGUGGAAGCAUACUUAAUUAAUUUUGAUGAAAGUGACAAGAAGCAUACUUAAAUUAUAUUAUAUAUUUCUAUUUAUCAAAAUAUAUGAUUUUUCUGCUGUUUGUGUAAUUUACCACAGUUUAAGAUUUUUUUCGUUGAGAGAAACAUGAUUUAAGGUUUGCUAUAUAUCGCCGAGUUUGAAUGAAAAUUAGGAGAGCCGAGUUUGCAUGAAAAUUGGGGUAUUAUGUUUUUAAACGUAUUAAAUAAGUGUACAACAACUUGUAAAAAAAAAAGUCUAGAGAAACAAUAGAUAUAUACAAACGAUGACACAACAUGAUAGGAACGAAAAGCUCAUCAGUGAGGAGAAAUAUUAGGGAUUGCUGCAUUUUAGAGUGAAUUUGAUAGGUUAAAUUGAUGCGUGGAAUUUGUUAGGUUAAAUUGUUGCUAACCUAAUGCAGCAUUUAAGAGGGAAAUUAUUAGGUUAAGUUGAUGCAGACCAAAUAAAAUUAAUAAAUAAGGAUAUGAUAUUCUUUUGUUGUCUGUGUAAUUUACCACGGUUUAGGGUUUCCUAUAUAUAGCCGAGUUGGAAAUUAGGGUAUUCUGUUUGUAAAUGUAUUAAAUAAGUGUACAACAACUUGUCAAAAAAAAGUCUAGAGAAACAAUAGAUAUAUACAAACGAUGACACAACAUGAUAGGAAUGAAAAGCUCAUCAGUGAGGAGAAAUAUUAGGGAUUGCUGCAUUUUAGAGGGAAUUUGAUAGGUUAAAUUGGUGCGCUACAUUUUAGAUGGAAUUUGUUAGGCUAAAUUGCUGCUAACUUAAUGCAGCAUUUUAGAGGGAAAUUAUUAGGUUAAGUUGCUGCAGACCUAAUAAAAUUAAUAAAUAAGGAUACUAUCCUUUGAUCAUGUUAUAAAAAAAAUAUAUAGAUAAUCACAUGCAAGAAAAUAAUAAAUUUUAGAUUCCAAGGGUCCUUCAUGGUUACCCACACGAUGGUUUCUCAAAUUUGCUGCCAUGGAGGUUUUUUUUUAUCCCUUGCAUGCAUACAGCAUGGUGUGGAAGCAUACUUAAUUAAUUUUGAUGAAAGUGAAAAAGAGGCAUCUGAUCUGAGAUAUAGUUUCUAACCCAAUCCAAUUACACAUGCUAUACUUGCAGGGCACUCAGAAAUUGUCCUUAAGUAUUCUUUUUUUAUUUUGAUUGUUUUUUCUUUAAAAAUAUUACCUCAGUCUCAAAAUAAUGCAUAUUCUAUUUUUCCUUUCUAUUAUGUAGUAGCGUUAAGACGGGCAUGCUUUGCUUUUCUAGUGCGUUUAAUUGUAUGUUUAUUUUAUGGUGACAACUAGGAUACUCAUGAAAGAAUAGUAGGUAAUUUACCUCAACCAAUACACAUUAGUCACAUAAGCACAUUUUUAAGUGGUAUCCAUGAACUAUCUUGACCCUACCAACAAAUUGCUCAUUUUCAUUGGUUGGUGGGUAAAUUACCCACCAUUCUUCAAAGGUAAAUCUAGAAAAAACUUUAUUGUAUUGUAUUUAGUUAUAAAUUAAAAUAUAUUAUAAUCAAAUAAAGAUUUAGCUUAUAAUGUUCCCACUUCUUAUUAUAAUUAGAUUUAACUGAUUUUCUUAAUUUUAAAUAAAAAAAUAUUAUACAAAACAUAAAAAGGGUAAUAGUAAUUUUUUCCCUAAACGUGUAACGAAUACCCACAAUAGUCCUUCAAUGUAUCAAAAUUUGAAAGUAAUCCCUGAUUGUUGAUGGAAGAAAUUGGCAACUGUGUCAAAUCGUAACAAUUAAAAAAGUAGUAAGUUUAUUGUUCUCCAAAGAAGAGGGUAGAAAACUUUAGAUUUCAAACUUGAAUUUCAUUAACAUAAUUAUGAAAUAAGUAAUUGGUAUGUCAAAAAUAGAUAAACAAUUUCGGAUUAUCAAUCCUACUUUUCAUCUCCUGAUCAAUUUUCAAGAUUACUAAUGCGGAUUUUCAAUUGAAAAAACAUAUUAAGAACAAACAAGUACAAAUUUAAAUCGGAUACAAGAAAAACUUAUUUGAAUAAAAACUUUAUUAAUUGAAUCCAACGUGUUCAUCUUAUAACCCUAAUCAAAGAGGUUUAAAUGCUCAUGGCAACAAAAAAAAAUACCAUAUAGAGAACACGAGGAGGAUGGAGAUCCUGCCUUGGAACUCUGAUGAUUGACCCUUGCCUAGAAUCACUAGCUUUUUGAAUGAAUAAUAAUGUGCCUCGGCUUAUUAUUGAUAAAAAAUCAAAUAGAGAAAAAGAUAAGACGAGAGAGAAUAAGAACAUAAAGUAAAUAUAAGAUAUAAAUUUGUUCAAAAGUUGUCAUUUCUCAAUUAAUACGUGUGGCCUCGUCUUCUUUUUUGUACACAAGCUUGAGUCUUGUUCACUAUCUCCAGACUCUUAUCCACUCAUUUCUUAGCUUUCUUUUGUAAAUUACCAAUCAAAGAAAGUUAACACCAGAACAACAACAACAAAUCAUCAUGGCCUUAACCAACAAACCCCUCCUUCCAUGUUUAGUUCGCUUAUUUACGUCUAUCAUCUCUUUCGUCAUAUCCGCCUCUCGCCGCUCCAAUAGCACUAGGCAUGGCAAUGGGGCGGGGUGGGGACGGGUUUUACCUUCCCGUCCCCAUACCCGAUUCUCAUAUACUUACUCGUUACCCUACCCAUAUCCAACGGUGAUGAGAAAUUGAAUCACAUCGCCGUCUCCGACGGGUUCGGGUAUCCCCGCCCCAUCCUCGUCUCCGCAUUGAAUAUUUUUUUAAUAAAAAAUAGAAGUUUUUUUGCAUCCCCAAGAGCAACUUUGUAAUACUUAUUUAACAAUAAGCUGACUUUCACAUUUGUUAGACAAAAUUAUUUAGUUGAUCCUUUAAAUAUCAAUGGUAGUUUUUAUUAACAUGACAAUUAUCAAACAAAAUAACAUAACAUAUCAACAUAAAAUAAUUUUUUACAUUUGGGACGGGUUUGGGCAUGGGUUCGGGGUGGGUACCUAUAUACCCGUUACCCGUCCCAUAUCCGUGUUUUGAGAUCGGGGAAAAUCCAUACCCAUACCCAAACCCAAACCCAAUCAAAACGGGGAAAACCUGUCAAAUUGAAUUUGGUUCGGACGGGUAACCAUGGGUAUGAGUUUUGUUGUCAUGCCUAAAUAGCACCAUCAACUGCCGCCUUCUCAACUUCUUUGAUAGGAAAAUACCUCCUAAUUCCAACUUUGUUGAAGGAGUAUCUUCUCAUGAUGUCAUUGUGGACCCCCACAGACAAUCUCUGGUCUCGCCUAUUUAUCCCCUCUUUAGAUUGGGUAACACUUCGGUGACUUUGGUGGCUUUGUCUUUAUUUCUCUCCUAACCAAUAAUUCUCUGUCAUCAAAAUAAUUUAUUUUAAUCAUUCAUCUAUCAUUUUCUCUCAUCUAAAAUACUCUAAAUUGUCACAAAAGUCACCAAAAUACAAAGUCACUCAAGUAUUUCUCCUUUAGACUCUAUCGCCAACACAUCUCUCCCCAUCUUUGUAUUUUUUCAUGGUGGUAGCUUUGCAUUCAUGAGUUUAUCUUCUACCUAAUAAGAUGAUAUUUGUCACUCAUUUUCUCGUUCAUUUCCCGUAAUUAUUGUAUUGGUUGGUCUCCGUCUUGCCCCUGAACAUCGUUUUCCAUCCCAAUAUAAUGAUGGUUUGAAAAUCCUUAAAAUUCUUAACUUGUAAUCUCAUUUCUAGAGUGAAAAGUGCUCGUGAAUGUGGAAAUUGUUCUACAUUAGAUAAUGAAGCUCUUAACUUGUAAGUUCCUUAUGCAAUAGCAUCAUACGAUGAUGAUGUUAGUGUCUCAAAGUUGAUGUGCUUAGCUUAAAAAAUUUGGUCAAAGCUUCCCACAUCUGUAAUGCACAAUUAAACCAACAAAACCACACAUCAAUUCUUCCAAAAAUGCACAAUUUUGCUACUAUUUAAUGAACACCAAAGAAUACACACAUGACCAAUUAGAAGUACACCUUCUACGACAUAUCACAUAUGUCUAAAACACUGACUCUUUGAAAGAGUUGAACCUUACAAUAAAUAGGAAUCCAAUGCCCAAUUAUUAAUUAAUUUCAAUUAUGUAAUGGAAUAACCUUAAAUUCACAAUUUCUUUAUUUAGAGUUUUCAUCGUUCUUGCUUUUAUAUUCGAAAUCAAUGUCCACUAUUUCAAAUAUUAUUGUUUUUUAAAAAACCACAAUAUUUCAAAUAUAAUUUUUUUGAAAUAUUACUGGAAGGUCACGUUCUGUUUCUUUCACUUGUGGGAGAUAAAAGAUAUCAUAUAUGUCUAGUGUAUGUCCAGUGAAGGAAGAUGAGGGAUAAAUAAAAUUAAAUAUCUCUCCUGUCAAAAACUUAAAAUAUAUGUCUCGUUAGAUGUAAUCUUGAUUAAUAUGAUUGAGAUCUCACUAUUAAAUAUAUUUCUCAUUAGAUGUAAUCUUAAUUAAUGAUUGAGAUCUCACUAUUAAAAAUAAAAUUAAAUAAAAUAUCUAAAGGACUAAAAAGGAAAAGUUUUAAUAGAAAAAUUACUCUAAAAAUAUUUGUUGAGAUAUUCUCUCUAAAAAUUAAAAUUAAAAUGAAAAGAGAGUCAUCCCAAAAUUAAAUUAUAUUAAAUAUAAAACUAAACUAAAUAAAUAAAAGUACACCUCACUAGUUUUUUUUGGGUCAUGCUAACCGGUGCCAAGCGGCACUGUUUAAGGGUACCAAAAAAGGAAGUUAUUAUCAUAAAAGAAAACUUUUUUUUGACUUUUUAUAAAUUAAUUACAUAAAUUCAAUGCAUGAAUUUAUAUACUAUAUAAUUUCUUUUUUAGUAUCCUUAAUCAGUGUGCAAUAUUUCUCUUUUUUAUACAAAACUAAAAAACAAGGAAUGGAAAACUAAUUUAUUUUCUUACUAUCAAACUCCCAUGCUAGUAAAGUCGGUGGAAGAUAAAAAUACAUGAAUAUGACAAGAUAAGUCACUAAAAUAUGUAUGCUUCAGGAUCUGGAACGUUGAGGUUCAAAUCAUUGAUUGAAAUUGUAAUUGACUGAAGUCGAUAUUUCAAUAUGAAUUAAAUGAACACCGUGAUAAGACGUGAAAUCAAACGCCACACAACACAACAAACAACACAACGUCGCACUUAAACGACGAAAGAACUUGAUAUAUGUGAAAACCACUUAUUUAAGUUGAAAGAAAGGGGGGAAAAGAUGUAGAGGGCUGAUUUUAUGUAAAAAAAAAUGACCUAAAACCACUCCUCCUUGAUGAAUGAAGAAGAAAUAAAGCUUGGAGAAAAGUUGGAGUUUCGCCCAUUAAAAAAUUAGAGGCUGUUUCUAUUUUGUUUUAUUAUUAAUAGAAAAAAGAAGGUAUCACCAAAAAUGUAGAGGGAAAAUUGCAUGCCAUGAAACAAUUUUUGCCUACGGAUUACACAAAUGCUUUUAGAAACGUUAUAAAAUGUGGCAUUCUAUUUAAUCAAACCAUGGCCAAAAGUUGAUUACGCCGCGCUUUUAUAGAUGCAGCGUAUUCAUAAAAGAAAAGCCGCGGUUUUUAGUUGUGGCUGGAAUAGAAACAACCAAAAUCCGUUGCCUAAAGGGAUAGGCAACGACAACACUCUUACCACGGUUGUAGAAUCGUGGAUAUAUCUAAAUUCCCAACGGUUUUCAACUGAUUAACAGAAAAAGUAUAAAAACCCGUCAACAAGUAAAAAUUUGUGGCCUAUUAACCCUUAGCCUACGGUUAUUCAGCAGUGGGCUAAAGGUUUGUUGCCUAAAGUCAAACUGAGUCGAAGAUCCGAUUCAAAUGGGUCCCGGUUGUUUUAAUGGAUAAAACCGAUUGGUAUUGGAAGAUGUUUCUGGAUGGAUCAAAUCGGGACCAUGAAGCGGUUAAUGUUAAUGGGCCUAAGGCAUUGGAUAUUCUGAAUGUGGAUUACCCGAAGAGUCUAUUGUUUUUUGGUGGGUUUGAUUCAUUAGUAAAUCUGGAGAGGAAGUGGAAUUAAUCCAAUAUUCAAACAUGAUUCAUGGUUUUUAUUAUUUUCUAGAUUUGUCAUAAACUUCUCAGUUUAUUUCUAAAGUCAAGGACUUCAUAACUAACACUACAACAAAUAAGAUGUAAUGCAACGCCACUUUAAAAUGGUUGCCAUAAAACCGUUUUCUAAUAGGACAACAACAACACAAUAUUAAUGGGUGGUAGUAGUUAAAUUCAAUAAUAAUACAACAACAGUUAUAAUAUUAUUAAAACUGUUACGCCUAAAAAAAAAAAAAUAUUAAUACUCUUUAAUUAUUUUGACUUUUCAGAGAGAUAGAAUCAGGUUUUUCAUUUUACACUACCCUCUCUCUCAGGACAACAACAACACGCUUCUUACCCACUCACACCAAAUCACUUCUCAAAAUCACAUAAUCUCAUAAUCGCUUCUCUCAUAAUCACUUCUCACAAUCAUUCUUCACUUCUCACAAUCUCAUCUCAGAAUCACUUCUCACUUCUCAUAGAAUCACUUCUCACAAUCGAUUACUCACUUCAUCUCAGAAUCACAUCUCAUAAUCGAUUCUUCACUUCUCACAAUCUCAUAAUCACUUCUCACUUCUCUUCACGAAUUUGCGGUAUGUAGUUCCUUUGCGUUUUUAUUUUGCUCUAAUUUGAUAUUUCUAGGUUAAGUUGAUACUGAUUUGAUGCAAUUGACAUUUUUUAGGUUAAGAUGAUUCUGAUUUGAUUUUAAGUUGAUUCUACUUGUAUUUUGUGGAUUAGUAGAAAAUGAUAUGAAAUCGAACGAGACUUGUAAUAAUUCUGAACUGAUUUCAUGUUGUUUUUGUUUGUUUUGUUGGUUUAUUUGCGCUUAUGGAAUCUCACGCGCUUCUGAUUUCACCGCUCAUCAGAUCUGCUUCAUCGCAAUCACUCUUACAUCUUCAUCAGAAUCGCUCUUCAUCACAAUCGCUGAUUUGAUGAGGUAAUGUGAUGUUUAAGUUCAGCUGAUUAGAUACUUAAUAGAAAAUGAGAAUAAGAAUUUUGAUGUUUUAGUUUGGUUUGUUAAUCUGAAAUAAAAAUGAGAAUAAGCUAAUUUGUAGCUUAAUCUAAAUGAGUUAUUUGAAAUGAGAAUCACUUUAUUUUUUGUUGACAUGUGAAUUAAUAGAAUAUGAUAUGAAAUAAGAAUAAGAACUGUGAUGUUUAACUUUUGUUGGUUAAUUUGGAAUGAAAAUGAGAAUAAGAUAUGAAAUAACAAUAAGAAUUCUGAUUUUAAGUUUUGCUAAAUUAGAUUAGAUUUUUGGACUAAUUUCAAUUAUUUUUUUCCGUAUUUGUUGUUGGUUAAUUUGUGGAUGAUUUAUCUGCCGAUUCUUCGAUGAGCAUUUGAGUUGACUUUCUGUAUCUCUCGAAUCAGGUUUGUGCACUCUAUUGUCGUUUAUUAAGUAUCCCAUGUUGCUGGAUUUUGAUUAGUUUGGUUACCAUAAAAAUGUUGUUGAAUGUUUUUAUUUGAUUGGAUUUGUUCAUGUUUAUUAAUCUGAUUUGAUAUUUUUGUUGACAUUAGAAUUAGUAGAAAAUGAUAUGAAAUCUACUAACUACUCUAGAAAAAAAAAGUUCCCAUUUUUUUUCAUUUUUGCCCUUAAAGGGUAUUGAGGUCAUUUCCAAUUUAGUGAGGAUGUCUGUUGACAGAUCAUCACUCCUUCCACUAUAUAUAUGGAGUUAAGCAUUCAAUUUCUCAGUCCCUCUCAUUUCUAUACUUUCUGUACGGUUACUAUAUUUCUCGUCGCUCUCUCCGGUACGUUCAUUUCUCAGGUUCGGUUCCGUUUUUUUUUAUCACCAUCAUCAUCAUCGCUUUUUUCCUUUCCUUUUUCGGCUUGCAUGACUGUUUUUGUUGUCUCUAUGGUUUCAGUUGUGUUGUUUUUGUUGUUGUUUUACCUCUUUUAUUCAUGUUGGUUGAUUCAGUGUUUGUUUGGUCUGUAUGUUGUGUUUGUUUUGAUUGAUUGAGAGAUUUUAGGUUAAUUUUGGUCUGAGUUGUUCCUAUUUUUGUGCAUGCAUGUUCCUUCUUUCUGUUGUUUUUGGUGUUUCUUUGCCUCUUUUAUUCACGUAGCUUGGUUGAUUGAGAAUUUGCUUGGUUUGUAUGUUGUGUCUGUUUUAAUGAAUUGAGAGAUUUUGCUUCAAUUUUGGUUUGGUUUUUUGAAUUUCUAUUUUUCUGUGUUUUUUUUUCUGUUUAGAGGUUGGUAAUUGGCUUUGUUCAGAUUAUUACGUUUAUUUUUUGUAUUUUUUUACAUGCAUGCAUGUUGAUUUUGUUGGGUUGGUGUGUUGUUAUUUGUUUUGUUUGAUAGUGUUUUUGAAAAAAUCAUAUGUUUAGUUUGAUCAUAGUAUGCAUAUGAUGAUAGAAAUUGGGCAAAGUUGUUAAAAAUUCUGGUAUUGUUAUUGAAGACUAUUGGUGUUUAUACCAUUUUUUUUGGCAAAUUUGGUUGUAUGCUGAGGUUGUUGGAUACAUUGAGUACUCUUGCUUUCUUAUCAUGUUUCAAAGAAUCAUGAGACAGAAAUUUUUUGCAGUGACUGAGAAAAUAUGUUUGUUCUUUCUUGAGAGUAACAAAGGAAAAUACUUUUAAGACACAUUUUUUGGUAACAAAGAAAAUUUAAGUAUGUUUUGAUGAUGUUUACUAAAACAAAGAUGAUGAUGUUGGCAAUGUUAUAAAAAAAAUCUACAUUAAGGAUAUUUGAGCUAUUACAGUGAGGUAUUUCAGUGUUUUCAUGAUGAAUUGUUUUUUUUUUUUUUACAGGGUUCUCAAUAAUGUCUAGGGAUUUUGGUUGUAUCAAAGAUUUGAAAAAGGAUCUAGAUGUUUGGAAAAUUGCAUUUAGAGUUCUUGACUUAUGGAUUGUCACUGCCAGUAAUGGUAAUCAACACUUGGAGCUAAUCAUCGAAGAUGCCAAGGUUAGGAAAAUUACCUUCGCUUCUUGUGAGGGUUGUGUUGGCUUUUGAAUUUGUUUGGUUAUUCUACCAAAAAACUAUUUUAUGCAUAGCUUCAGUACUCUUUUUCAGAAUUUAGUCAUGCAUAGUGAGUGAACAUUAACACAAGAGUAUAUAAUAGUAUAAUUUUGGUUGAAUUUAGCAUAAAUGAACUAAGUCUUCAAGGAAGAACAUCUAGGAAGUGUUAAUUUUGGAAUAGUGAAAGGUCCGUAGUCUCUCUCAAAUCCACAAUAUAUAGUAUCUUAUUGUCAAAUGAGGUUGAAUAAUCUAUCAAAUUAUAGUGAUUGAUUGAUUAAAAUGGAUAAGAGUUGAAAUAUGUAAUAAAUUGAUUUCAUCAAUAAUGACUUUGGACAAAUGGAUCAUUCUUAGGUGCACGAUGAGUUGUUUUUGUUGAUUGGUGUUAUGAAUUUCGAUUUACAUGCCUAUUUUGCUUUUGUUUUUGGAUUUAGGGUGAUAGGGUUCAUGUUGUAACUCGGUAUCAAGACCUUGAGCGUUGGAAGCGAGUGAUUGAGGAUGGCAAGACCUAUGUUUUGCAUAAUUGUCUUGUGUUCGAUAAUGAUGAUGCGUUCAAGCAUGUUGACCAUCCUUAGAUGGUGUUUGGUAGCGGAACAAAGGUGGUUAGGAAUGACAAGCUGACUAACAUUCCUUGGCAUGAAUUCAGAUUUAAGUCCUUUAAGGAGAUCCAAGACGGGAAUUUCAAACCAGAUGUUUUGUAUGGUAUAGUUAUGAUUCCUUAUGUUUUAAAUUUGUUUGUUCUUUUUUUUAACUAUAAGGGUGUUGAUGAUGGUGGUAAUGUUUUUUAAGAAAUCAUUGGGCUUAUUGACGAGAUUGUGAAGACAUCGGUGUUUGGAUCUGGAAAAAAGUCGUGCACCAAUCUCGUGCUUCAAGAUGAAGUGUAUGAUUUUAUGAUUUUUAAACGUUAGAUUGUAUUAAAAAAAAAUUAGUUGAUAUGUAUCUGAGGAUGUUGUUGACAAUGCAGGGGAAAUUUGGUUGAUGCAACAUUAUGGAACAAAUAUUCUGUUGAUUUAAUGAAGUUUCUUUCUGAACGGAGGGAUAACGGACCUGUUGUCUUGAUAUUAACUCAUGCUUAGUGCAAAAUUGCAGGUUAAUAUAUCAUGUGUUGCAUGUAUUAUUUUGUUAAUUCUUUUUGUCGUUUGUCGCUCUGUUUUUGUUGAUUUUUUCGUUCUUAUUUUUCAGAUAACGGUAAGUCGAAUGUGUGCAAUAACUGGUCUGGCUCAAGGUUGUUAAUCAAAUUCAAACAUCCAGUUGUUGAGAGAUUUAGGAGCAGGUUAGUUUGCGUUGUGCUUUGAAUGUUAAUUUUUGGGAUGGUGAUACAAAAAUAGAGUUCCUUGAUUAUAAAUAUUCAUCAAUGUGUAUAUAGGUGGAUACAUUAGAGGUAAAUAAAUGUAUCUCAUAUGUAUAUAAUGCAUAAACAUAUCGAUAUGAUCGUUUGAAAUCAGGGAAUGUCACGUUAAAUAAAUGUUUUGAUUUUGCAGUCUUCAUGCUCAAGGUCGUGGCCUUGGUCGGACUCUUUGUGAAGGUUCGAAUUCUUCUCAGAGAUCACAGAAUAAUGAAUUUUCAAAUCUUUCUCAAGUGAGAGCAAUUGGUGAAUUUAGGAAUUUGAUUCAGGUUUGUUUUGUUUACACAUGGGGAUAUUUUUAGAUAUUUUGUUAGUGAUCUAUUUGUUUUUUAACUGAGUUGUAUAAUUUAUUUUAGAACACCUAUUGCAUCACUGUUGGCACAACAAGCAAGUUUAAUCCUAAUCGAUUUGGCUGGUACUAUGAAAGCUGCACCAAAUGCCCAAAAGCUUCAAGGUCAGGUGGUGCUAGCUAUAAGUGUUCAUGUGGAGAGGAUGUCGAAGAUCCGUUGACAAGGUUGUGUAGCUAAACUUUUAUGUGAUUCACUUAUAAUUUUGGUUUUAGCAUAUGCUUUCUUAUUAUUAAAAGUUUGUUAUAUCAUAAAAUGUAUCUUUUUUAUCAGGUAUAAGGUGGUUGUUCAAGUUGUAUAUGAGGGUGAUAAGUCGGAGUUUGUGUUCUGGGAUAAGGAAUGUGUUCAGAUUCUUGGUGUCACUGCAGAUACUCUUAGAAAAACCAUACAGGAGGUAAAUUUGAUUGUAAAAUUUAGUUUUGGUUCUACUUUAAUUAUUUACUAAUUUUAUUUUUUGGAAAUCUGACUUUUAUAGUUAUGUUUGUUCAUGAAGGUUGAUGAGGAUGAUCCCAUGAUAUAUCCCACGCAUUUAGAUAAAUUGCUUGGACUUGAGUUGGCAUUACGUGUGAAAUACCAGGCGUAUUAUCAUCAAUCAUCUGUGCAAGGUUUUUCCUCUGAUGCUGCUGUUAUUGAGAGAAUUAAGCGUCAUCUUCGUCCUGAUGGAAUGCAGUCAGAUGUGCAAGAAGUUGAUGAGGUUUUGUUGCGUUUGUUUGUUGAUUCAUUUUAUUUACAAUUAAUUUGUUUAUUUAUUUAAUUUUGACUUAUGUUUGGUUAUUCUCAUCAUUACUAUAGACUGUUGUCAACAAUGAUCCAACUCAGUUAUUUGAACUUCGAAGUACAAGUUCUUCUGUUGAAUGCUCAAAAGUCAUUCCAACUCAUGUGGUAGGUUUACACUAUUUCUUCAAAUGAUUUAUAUCAAUGUAUAGGAUAGUGGAGAAAACUAUUUAUAGUGAUAACUUGAGUCUUAAUUUUUUUCCUGAUCAUUGUUUUAAGGGUUAAUAGGUCUUUACCCCCCUGUAAUAUAGGACACUUUUGGUUUUGCCCCCUGUAAAAAAAAAAAUUUAGAUUCCGUCCUUGUAAAAUGAAGAUUCUUCAAGAUUGCCCCCUGAGCCCUGUGACUCAGCAGAAUCUAUGAUGUGACAUUUUUUUUUAUUUUUCAAUUUUUUUUUGGAAGCCAAGUGUAAAAAAUAAUUUACAUGUCAUUUAUAAUUAAAAAAAAUAAAAAAAUCUAUUUUUUUUAAAAAACGAAAAAUAUUUUAAAAAUUAGAAAAAAAAUUCAGAUAUUUUUAAAAAAAUUUAGAAAUGCAGAUUUUUUUUAAAAAAUUAAGUUCCGGAUUUUUGUUAAAAUCAGAAAAAACAUUCAGAUUUUUUUAAUUUAAUUUUUAAAAUAAAAAAAAUAUUUUAUAUUUCAAAAUCUUUAUUCCAGAAAUUUUAUAAAUUCUUUUUUGAAAUUAAAUAAUUAGAAAAAAAUUCAAAUAGUUUUUACAGAUUAAAAAAAAAUAGAUAAUUCUUUUUUUUCGAAUUUUAUAAUUUUAAUUUAAUUCGGAUUUUUUUUGAAAUUUAGUAUAAUUUUUUUGGAAAAUUUGGAAAUAUAUUAAGUUCGAGAAUGGAAAUGGUAUACCAUAAAAGCAUUUUUUAUUUAAAAAAAUAAAAAUAAAAUAAUUUUUUUUUCUGAAAUUAGGAAGUAUUUUAAAAAAAAAAACUGGAUUUUAUCAAAAAUUUCAAAAACAAAUCAGAAUUUUUUUCUAAAUUUAAAAUUUUCAAAAAUAUCUGAAGUUAAGAUUUUAAAAAUUUAAAUAAAAUCAAUUUUUUUUUUCAGAUUAAAUAGUUGGAAUUUAAAAACAUUUAUAUCCAAAUUUUUAAAAAUUAAAAUAUUUUCCAGAGUUUUCAUUCUUUGUAGAAAAAAUUAAAAAAACUUUUUUAUUUCGAAAAAAAUCUGAAUGUUUUUUAAUUUCGAAAAAGAUAAGACAAUUUUCUAUUUCGGAAAAAAUCUAAAUGUUUUUUAAUUUUUGGAAAAAAAAUCUAAUUUUUUUUCGAUUUAAAAAAAUAGUUUGAAUUUUUUCAGAUUUUUUAAAAUAUGAUUUUCGUUUUUUUAAAUUUUAUUUUAUAUUUUAAUUUUUUUAAAUAAAAAUGACGUGUAAACUAUUUUUUACACGUGGCAAGCUAAAAAAAAUAAAAAAGAAAAAGAAAAAGCCAUGUAGGUGCCACAUCAUAGAUUCUGCUGAGUCACAGGGCUCAGGGGGCAAUCUUGAAGAAUCUUCAUUUUACAAGGACAGAAUCUAAAAAUAAAUUUUUACAGGGGGCAAAACCAAAAGUGCCCUAUAUUACAGAGGGGUAAAGACCUAUUAACCCUUGUUUUAAUUUUGAUUGUGUUGCGGUAGAACAUUGUCGGCAAUAAUCCAACACAAUCAGUGAAAGUUGAGCAGAAGACCUCUUAUGGUAAAGGCUUGAAAUCAGUUCCAGUUUCUAUGGUAUGUCUGUCUGUACUUUCAUAUUCUGAUCAUCUAAUCCAUUAUGUUAUUUGCCUAUUAUUUGAAAAUAUGGUUAAUCUGUUUUUGAAUCCUUAACUAUACCUUAAAGGGUUGACAUUGAUAUCAAACCAUUUUGGUGUUUUGAUCAUUAUGAAAUAUCAUAGAAAGAGGAAUUGAGAUGUAAUUCUCAUUUUAUACAAAGUUAUAAAACUAUUGAAGUAUUGUAACUCAUGUAAAACUAAUAACUAGGGAAGAACUAACAGACUUCUCUACUAUAAAUGAGAUAAAUUAGCAUCUUUAUUAGGUAAUAAGAGUUAAAAAAUGGAGUAAUAACGGUGACUUAGGUUGGAUUUUUACCUCUUGGAAGAUACCGACAAAUUAACAACUAAUAUUUUGUUAUUAUUCAAUAAUUAAAGUAAUUGAUGAGGCUAUGACAUGUUCCUUUAGUAGACUAAUUUUAGAUCACUAACUUCAUUCAUGCAUGGUUUAAUUUCUGCAUGUUUUUUAUCAUAUAUUUUGUUCUAAAUACUGUUUCUUUUUCUAUGUUCUUGCGAUAAAGCAUUGUUUCUGAUGAUCCAACUCUGUCCGUGAAAGUUGAGGACAUGACCUCUUCUGCUGAGGGCGUGAAAUCAAUUCCCAUUUCUAUGGUAUGUCAACGUUAUUCUCUCAAAUGAUUUUUAUCUGUCUAUAAAAAAGUAGAGGUAUGUAUGUGUGCAAUAUCUAAGUAAAAAUAAAAUGAGGUCUGUUAAUGAGAGUAAUAUUAUGAUAAGUAUUGAAAUAAAGAUUCAUUGUUGAUUUGGUUGACAAUGAAUUUUUUAAUGUUUUUUAUACAAACUAAUUAGCUCUUUUUAACUUUUGUAUCAGCAAAAGUCUGUUUCUGUGUGCAAUCAAGGUGGUUUAAAUCAAAUUGGGAACUGCACUCCUUCAAAGCGUUCGUUUGAUGAAAAAUGUAAAGGCGGAGUUGUAUCUGAUGGCUGUGAUCCAACAUCAUUAUCUUCCAUUAAGCAGGCUAAAUGUAUUAGGAAGAAGUAAUCAGUUCCAUCUUUGUUUAGCUUUUUGAGGAAAUGCCGUUCUAAUGUGCGAAGUUAUUUGAUCUAUGCUCUAUAAUAGUGGUUUUAAGCUACGUGGAAUGGCUUUGGAUUAUGCAACAUAUGUGGCUUAUUUUGGUUAAUUGUAAUAUAUUAAGUCUAACAAUGUAACUUGCCACAAUUAACUUUAUGUAAUUAAAUAAGUUGCAUGUAAUUAACAUAAUAUGUUUCUACAUUUUGCUAUGCCUAUAACCAAGUAACUAUAUCUAAUAUUGAACUCUUUAGAUAUCAGGCUAAAACUAUUGAGGUUUUGCAAAUAUAAAAUACAAGAUUUGGGUUCUUAAUUUUUCUUGCGAGAAAGUUAGGUAGGGUGAAGGAUAUGUUAAAAAAAUUUGGUCAAAAAAUGGUUUUAAACUGUUGUUAAACUAAGAUAAAUGGUAAAUGGUUUUCUCUAUCAAAAAAUUAAUUAUUGAUAAAUGCUUUUAAACUGUUGCUAAACUAAGACUGAGCACAGUACCAUCUCUUGACUGCAUAAGUUCUCUUUGUGCAAGAUAGAGUGUACACUACAUUUUAUAUUGUAACUUCUCACCCUUGUGUUCCUUUGAGUCCAUUUUCCUUCUACUUUUUUUGCCUACAUUCAAAAAAUUUGGAAGCAAUGCAAACAAUAUCAGUGGUGUUUAACAUCUCUUAAUUAAUUAUGUCGUUUUAACAUCUCUUCUUUUGAAUUUGAAGAUUUUGUUACAAUAAUUAUUAUCCAUUCUUUUACAAUUUAAAAGGUUAUCAGUUAUAGUUCAUACACAAGACUUUUACUGAUGUAGUUUCUGGUUAGCAGUUUCUUCUUGUGCUUGAUGUAAUUCAUGCUAAUGAGAUUGCCUAAGCAAAGAUUUACAACCUUUGAAGUUUAAGUUCUAAAAAUGUUUAUUUUGUAUGAUAUCACUAAAGUAACUUCUAUCCUUCAUUCUACAUGGUGUAAAUAUAGAUAUCACCACCUUUAUAGUAACCACGUAACAGUAUCACUCCCUUUUACAAUUUUAGUUCGCAUGCAAUCGUAAUUUGCACAUCAUUGGUUCCUUUAUUCGUUCAUGUUUUUAAUUUCCUAAAUAUUAAGUUACUUUACCAUAGUAUGGAGUAAUUAUAUAUUUACCAUGAACCCUUCAUUGUGAUGUGUUAAUCACAAAUCAUGCUUAUUUAAGUUCAUAUAUUAAGAUCUUACGAUGAACCAUGAUAUUCCGUCGUUUUAACAUUUAUCCUAUCAAUGUAAUAUUUUAUCAAACGUGUUAUUGAACCCGUGCAAAGCACAGGUUUGUAACUAGUAAUAAUAUGAAUUGUGAUGUUUAAGUUUUGCUGAAUGAGAAUAAGAAUGUGAAUUUUGAACUAAUUUCAAGUUUUUUUUGUUGGUUUAUUUGUGGAUGAUUUAUCUACCGAUUCUUCACUGAGCAUUUGCGUUCACUUUCCGUAUCUCUCGCGAUCCAGGUUUGUUCACUUUGCCGUGUUUAUUAAGUAUCCCAUGUUGCUGCAUUUUAAUUUGAUUGGUUACCAUAAAAUUGUUGUUGAAUAUUUUAAUUUGAUUGAAUCCGUUCACGUGUAUCGAUUGUGGUACUGAACUACGGAAUAUAUAUCUCUGAUCUUAGUAUAGCUCUUCAUUAGUUUAAACCAAAAAUUCACUAUAGACCAUUUUUUGUAAGUUAUUUUUUCAUGAGGAAUGACAGAAGUAAAACAUGACCAAUUCCACUCUAAAGGUCAUAAUGCAAUUGUGCUAUUAACAAACUUGUGUCCAACUGGAAUAGUUUCAUAGUUUGAAUGCGAUCUUUAGUUAUAUGUCUUGUGGGAUGUUCUGAUAAAUAUUUGAUAGAGCAUAGAAAUUCCUUUUAAGUUUGAUAUAGGCUUUAGAUUAUCUCCUAUUACUUAGGUGGCUGAUUCUCAUUUUAUAUUUUACAUUAUGAUUAAGUAUCAAGAUAAAGGAAAAAAAAAUAAAGGAUCAAUUGUUUUCUUAUGGUUUAUGUUUGAUUGAUUAAUUUGUUGUGCUAUCUGAUAUACAUAUGCCCUCACCUGUGAAGAGUUUUUAGUUUUUUAUGUAUCCAUGACACUUUAUUCUGAAAAAAGGAAUUUGAUGCAUGUAUUGUUAAAAGCUAAGAAGCUGCAUGCAUUCUUGUUUACUAGUUUUCCAGAAGAAAGGAAAAGGAAAGAAUAUUCUAUUUAACUAAACAUGGGUGAUAUAAGAUGCAAAUCUUCUUUACUAUAUACUUGGUACAUUCAUUUUAUUUUUAAGAGAAGAUGGCCGAAUUCGAUAUAUAACAUCAUGGUUUAUGUUUCCUGUUUUGUCAAUAAGUUGUAAUAAUUUGUAAUGGGGGUAUGCCAAAAUGGCUUGGUAGAUUUUUUGAAAACUAUCAUAGCCAAUUUUUUAAUGGAUGCCCUCCGCCAUGGCGGCACCACCACUGUUGUGCUGAUAUGGUUUUAUGCUUUUUUUGGCCAUAGCCAAAUUUCUUUUUGUCUUCCACCAUAGACAACAUUGAUUCUAUGCUUUUUAAAUGGUUUUACCUUAGUAGAACAGUUUUAGGCAUGUCUUUUGAUCAAAGAACUCAUAUUCAUCUCCUCCAUAGUUAAUGCACAAAGUUGGCACAUCAAUUCUUCCAUAUGUUACUUGUUUCUCUGAUCAUAGAGAAGUUUUGUUAAAAUCAUUUGUUUUCUUUUAGGCGCUUAACUGUUGCUCAGCUGACCGAUUGCAACAAAUGCGAAUUACCCCAAGGACUGCUUUGUGGAGAUUGCCUCUACACAAGGUAACAUUGUUUUAGUUGAGAUUCACAUUGAGAAAAGGACUUAUUUUUUGUUCAAAACUUGAAAAAUAAAGCAAUGCUCGUUUUGUGGUAGGUUCUUAUGGUAAAAUAUUUUCUCAAAGUAGAUCUUCAUUGUAGUAGCUUUUGAUUAGUUUGGCAUUAAGAAUCCAAAGUGUUUGUUCAGUGGGCCAAUAUAUGUAUGUUUGUGCUUCUUUAAUGCUCAUAUUGUUAGAAUCAUCAUCAUUUGACUAAUUGUUAUGUGCGUGUCUUUGCGUUUAGUGAAAUCAAUGUUACUAAUUUUAUUAUUUAAUUGGCUCUCUGAACUCAUUAAUCACCAUAAAUUUAUACUUUAAGUUGUACUAAUUUUUCUUCAUUUAUUUUUAUACUUGUCACAGUUGAAGACGACAUAGCUGUAAGGAAGACCUGCAUCCUCAUUUUAUACACCAACAACAAACACUCUACGGUAUGGUUUCUUUCUUUCCUUGUAUUUUAUCUUCAACAGAACCCUAGAGUAGUUUUCUCAUUGUAACUUUUUGUUUUCUUUUUACUUGUUAGAUGAUUAGAUAUGACACAGAGAUGAUGAUAGUUAGAUAUUCUUUCUUCUUUCUUCCUUUUACUUGUUAGAUAAUUAGAUAUGGCAUAAAGAUGAUGAUGAUUAGAUAUCACUUCUUUUUUAGUAAACUCAAUGGACAAAGAAUGGAUGAGAUUUCCAAGAGAAAGCCCAGAGUACAUGAAGGGCGUAUUCUUUUUUCUUAAUUAUGCUUAUAACAAAGGAAAACCUGAAGGACUGGAGAUUUUGUGCCCUUGCGCUCAAUGCCACAAUGCUUCUUGGAAAACAGGAGCAGUCGUAUUUGAUCAUUUAAUAGGAAAUGGAUUUGAGAAAGGCUACGAUGUUUGGGAUCGCUAUGGUGAGGGGUUAAAUCCCAUGGAUAUCGAUGGUGAUACAGAUUCUGAAGAGGAUGAACUAGAUAACAUUGAUGAACUAUUGAAUGACAGAUUUAGAGAUGUGAUACAAGAGGAGUGUGGAGUUAACAAUGGUCUUAGUGAUGAUGCUAAAAAGUUUUAUAAUCUGAUUGAAGAAGCGAGCCAAGAGUUGUACCCAGGAUGCAAAAAUUUCUCUACAUUAUCUUUCACUAUUCGUCUGUACUUGUUAAACUGUCUUCAUGGUUGGAGCAAUGCAUCCUUUACUUCUCUAUUAGAGUUGUUGAAAGAAGCUAUGCCUUUAUUAAAUGUUCCUGAUUCAUAUAAUAAAACUAGAGGAAUGAUAAGAGAUUUGAGACUUGAUUAUAAUAAGAUUGACGCAUGUCCUAAUGACUGUAUGCUAUAUUAGAAAGAUCAUAAUAAUGACAUAUCAUGCCAUGUUUGUGGUGCUUCACGGUGGAUUGAAAGUACUACAGAAAGUGGUCAGACUGAGGAAAACAAGAAAGAACACAAAGUCUCUGCAAAAAUAUUAAGACAUUUUCCUUUGAUUCCUAGACUGCAAAGGUUGUUUAUGUGUUCAGAGACAACCACUUCAUUAAGGUGGCAUCAUGAUGAUCGUUCCAAAGAUGGGAAAUUAAGGCAUCCUGCUGAUGGUCAAGCAUGGAAAGAAUUCAAUGGUCAUCAUCCUGAAUUUGCUCGUGAUUCACGUAACAUACGACUUGGAUUGGCUAGUGAUGGAUUCAAUCCAUUUAGAGCAAUGAAUUUGAAAUAUAGUGCAUGGCCUGUUAUACUGAUUCCUUAUAAUUUCCCACCAUGGUUGUGUAUGAAGGCUGAGUAUUCUAUGUUAUCUUUACUAAUACAUGGGCGAGAUUCACUUGGAAAUAACAUUGAUGUGUACCUCCAACCAUUAAUUGAAGAGUUAAAGGUACUGUGGAAUUUAGGUGUAGAGACAUAUGAUGCUUCAACAUAUCAAACUUUUCAAAUGCGAGCAGCUCUCUAAUGGCCUAUUAGUGACUUUCCUGGGUAUGCUAUGUUGAGUGGAUGGAGUACGAAAGGAUAUAUGGCUUGCCCUUACUGUAAUUAUAACACUAACUCUAUCUAUUUGAGCCAUAGUCGAAAGGUGUGUUAUAUGGAUCAUCGUGUUUUCUUAUCUAUGAAUCAUAAAUAUAGAUCAAAUUCAAGGGAUUUGAAGGAUCUUGAUAUCUUAGAAUCAGAGAUUGCAGAAACUCUUUGCCAACUAGAGACAAUUUUUCCUCCGAGUUUCUUUGAUAUAAUGGUUCAUUUUCCUAUACAUCUUGUGAUGCAAGAAGGAAAACACGAAAUAGUGGCGUUACAUUGGUGUCGAUGACCCAAAGCUUUGCAAGCACGAAAGAUGAAAAUCCGAUAACAAAACCAUUAACUUAUUAUGGAUCGAUUAUAGAUAUAAUUGAGGUAGAUUGUUGUGGAAAGUUGGUGUUAUUUAGAUGUGAUUGGUAUGAAGUUGAAGACAAAAAAAAAGUAUGGGACGACUUGUGUCCAAUUUAAUAAAAGAUGUUAUAAAGAUGAUCCUUUUGUGUUGGCCUCUCAAGUCCACCAAUGCUUCUACGUUCAAGAUCCCUACAAUGAAAAUAGGAAUUAUGUUAUGAGUAUUGUUCCUAGAGACUUCUUUAAUAUGAAAAAAGGGUCAAAUUCAAAUGCCCAAGAACCUUAUCAAAGUCAACCAUUAGAUCAUGUUAUAAAUUUAACCAUAGCUGAUGAAAAUGGUGAAGUUGAAUUGUCCAGAGAUAAUAUGCCUAAAAGCUAAUUAAAUCAAAAUUCAAAAAGCUAAUUAUACUCUUGAUACUGACUUGAACUAAAUAUUUAUUUGUUUCAUGUGUCUAAAAGCCAAACUAGUGGACAGCUCUAUGAUGAAUGGAUUAAGCAACAAAGUUUCUGCUCAAAUCAAAAAGGGCCUUGUUAAUCACAGACCACCCAAGAAGCAAAAGAAUACUCUGAAGCGUAAGUAGUACAUCAAAUGCAAUUUAUGGGUAUGUUUGGUUUGCAAAACAGCAAGUACUGGACAGAACAGUACAAGAUAAAAGAGUACAACACAAGGCAGAACAGCACAGGACAAAUUUUUUAUGACAUUGAGUAAUUUUUUGUUUUAUACGAUUUUUGAGGGACAAAAUGCUAUUUUGGUAUUUUAGACAACUUGUACGUGGGACAAAAAGUUGUGAUGUGGUUUGGUGAGGGACAAAAAUAUGAGUUUUUGUUGUGUCCCUUGCCUCCAGUUUGUCCUGUACCUGAAACAGUUUUACAAAUCAAACACUGGACAACUAGAGUUGUUCUGUCAUGAUGUAGUUUUUUUUACCUGUCUUUUAUUUGGAUGAUGUGAGUACUUUAUUAACUAGUGGACGGCUCUAUGAUGAAUGGAUUAAGGAACAAAGUUUCUGCUCAACACAAAACAGACCUUGUUAAUCACAGACCAUCCAAGAAGCAUAAGAUUACUCCAAAGUGUAAGUGCUACAUCAAAUGCACAUGCUAUGGAAACUAACAAAACAUGUGACCAUUGUUUUCCUUAAUUUCUCACAUUUAGUUUUGUCGAAUUCUAUGUAAAGUGACAAUGUCAUGAUGCAGUUUUUUGUUUUUACUUGUAUUGUACUUGACUGAUGUGAGUAGUUUAUUAACUAGUGGACGACUCUAUGAUGAAUGGAUUAAGCAACAAAGUUUAUGCUCAAAUCAAAAAGGAACUUGUUGAUCAUGGACCAUCCAAGAAGCAAAAGAAUACUCCAAAGUGUAAGUGCUACAUCAAAUGCACAUGCUAUGGAAACUAACAAAACAUGUGACCAUUGUUUUCCUUAUUUUCUCACAUUUAGUUUUGUCGAAUUCUAUUUAAAGUGACAAUGUCAUAAUGCAGUUUUUUGUUUUUACUUGUAUUGUACUUGACUGAUGUGAGUAUUUUAUUAACUAGUGGACAAAUCUAUGUUCAACGGAUUAAGCAACAACUUUUCUGCUCAAGUCCAAAAGGACCUUGGUGAUGAUGCACCAUCGAAAAGGCAAAAGAGUACUCCAAAGAUUCCUUCAAUGUCACUUGAUGAGUACUUUAAAAGGAGUAGGGAGCAACUUGAAGCAGAGGAGUCUGAAAAUGAAGAACUUGACAGGGAACAAGAAGUUAAGGGUGAGAUAAACUAUGAAAAUGGUGAUGGUGAUAAUUCAAUGGAAGGUAACACCCCUACUAGUUUGGCUUUCCACUGGUUCUCUUAUAUAUGUGUGUAUAUAUGUAUAACUGGUGUGAUAUUGGAAUGUUAACUAGGAGAAGCAUCAAAAUAAAAUAAAAAAAGAGGAAGCACAUUGUGCUUAAAAAUUCAUGCUCGGUCACUAGUUGAUAGACAAGAAAUCACCUUAAAUGAAGAAGGAGAGGCCAUUGGACCAAGUCAAAAGAUAGUUUCUAAAUUCAGCAAUUUUUUGGGAUCAGUAGCAAGAAUGUCAGUUUAUAUCCUCUUACUUACACAAACUGGAAGGCUAUACCAAAGAAGAAGAAGACUAUAUGGGCCUAUGUCAAUGUAUCAACUCUUCUAGUGUGUGUGUGUGUGUGUGUGUGUGUGUGUGUGUGUGUGUUUGAGUACAUUGUUCCUUCACUUAAUCCUUAAUCCAAUAUAUUUAUCUGUAUAUGUUCCUUUUCUUUGCAGAAAAUAUACAUUGUUCCAGAAAAAGGACAGAAGGAUGUCUAUGCUAUUAUAAAUGAUGCUUGGAGGCGGUAUAAAUGGUUGAUUAAGAAAAAUCAUUUUACUAAGUAUAGAAACUUGCGUGAGCGGCUGAAAAACCGUCCAGACAGCAUACCUGAAGCACACUUUAAGAAAUUAAUGAAGCUAUUCUAGUAAGAUUAAUUUAAUUUUAAUUGUUUAUUAUUCUACAUUAUUAUUUUCAUAUUUGAUCAAUUUAGUUCGUCAUAUGAAUACAGGAAAUCAGUCAUCAAAUGCUAAGAAUAUAGAUAAACAAAAAUGGAGACAUCGAGCAGGUCCCAUAAGCUUUGCUGUCAUAAGGGAAAGAUUGGUAUAUAACUUUUACUACUGUUAGCGAAUAAUUAAAUUCUUCAAUUAGUGAUAAUUUUUCUACUAUUAGAGAAUAAUUUUUUUCUUUGGAUAGCGUGCAACCAAGGAUGAUAGAGAGCCUCAAACUCAAGCUGAAGUUUUUAUUGAAACACGACAAAGCAAGAGAGGAAAGCAGCUGGACCAAGUUACAAGUGAUGCAAUCGUAAGUUUUUUCUUUAUGAUUUUACCAAGUUAGUUAUUGGCAAAAACUGGAAUAAAAAUUAUCAUGAAUUUAUCCUCAAAAAUGACUUUACGUAGUCAACUAAUGUUGUUUUUGAUUUUGCAAGACAAAUCUUCAAGAUUUGAUCACCAAUUCUAGUCAUUCUUCGGUUGAAGCUUUUCAAACUGUCUUUGGAAAAGAAAAACCAGGGAGAUUGCGCUGCUAUGGAAGAGUUACAACAUCUUCUCUAUUGAAAAGAAAUAAAGUGGCAGAUAUGGAAAAAAAAGCAUAGUUCUUCUAAGAGUCAUGCUGAACCAAAGCAACACAGGCAUAGAUAUGGGGGAUUUAGGAGCUUUUUUAUCAACCCGAAAUGAUGACAAUAAUGUUCGACAUUCAUCUACAUCUAAUCAUGAGGUAUGUUUUCGGUAUAUUGAAGUGUCGGCUAAUUGUUGCAAUAGAGAUAAACAUCAGUUGGAGUAAUCAAUCUAUAAAUUAUCAUUUUCAUAUUAUAUGUAGACUUAAUGAGGUAGGCCACUUCAGAUUAUCAUUUUAUUAUUAAGUUCUUGAAGUUGGGUGUCAAUCACUUGAUAAAAUAACUGAACUCCAAAGUGAAAAAUAGAAGUAGAAAAAGUUGAUUGUUUUAAGCUUUAUUUCUCUUUUUUCACUAACCACUGGAUGCUUCGAUUUCUUUGAUUCUGGAUCAGUCAGUCAUGAAGCUCACAGUGAAGACUCUGAAAGGAAGCCAUUUCGAAAUCAGAGUUCAUCCUUCUGAUUAUGUAUGUUGUACUUCUUUUUUCUCUAUUUUUUUCCUUUCCAAUUCUAUUAAAAUUCGUUGAUUGAAGAAUUCUCAAUAUUCAUUCAAUUUUGUUAGAUAAUCGCUGUAAAAACGAAUAUUGAAGACAUUCAAGGAAAAGAUAAUUACCCAUGCAGACAACAAUUGCUAAUUCACAAUGGAAAAGUUUUGAAAGAUGAAACUACUUUAGCUGAUAAUGAAGUCUCUGAAGAUGGCUUUCUUGUUGUCAUACUCAGUAAGGUAUUGAUCUCAAAUGUUUCAAGUUAGAAUAUAAUAUGUCAAGGAUGAUGGAACCUUCGUUGCUAGAAACUAUCAGAAUAGUUCUCAUGUGAUACAUGAUCUCACCUCGAAUAGUAGAAGGACGAACAAACAGAGACAAAUCUGAAUAUGAAACAUAAGCAUUUAAAUUAAUAUAAUAUGAGACCCUUUUUUUGGUUUGCUGUCAAUUGUCUAGCUCUAGUCCUGAUUUGUCCUCGGUUGUGUGAUGGUUUCUGUUUUGCCCCUUAAGCUAGUAUUUGUUGUUCCUAUUUUAUCUGUUUUGGACUGAUUUUCUUUUGGUCUUGUUCCGGUGUUGUUUAAUGAUUCUUUGCAGUAGUAAAAAUAAGAUAGUUGGUAUGGUUGAUGUGGUUUUGCGGAUAAGGGGAUUAGUCUUUUUUGAAUGAACUAUCUGCCACAUUGCAACAUUGUGAGUAUAAUAGUGAAUUAAUUUUUAUUUUUAUCUUGUAGGUAAAUAAUAGAUCUAUGGGUGGUGAAUGUUUUGUUGAUAACUACGAAGAAGAGGAUGAAGAACACUUCUUUGAUGAAUCAGACGAAGAGGAUGAAGAAAAAUUCUUUGAUGACUUGGACGGAGAUGAGGAUGAAGAAUAAUUUGACUCAUUAAUUCUUGUUUAUUUUCAUUAUUUGAUGUAAUAAAUUUCACAUUGAAGACUAAAUUGUCGAUAUUCAUGACAAAAUUGAUUAAAUUUGGUUGGACAUUUAUUUUAAUGUAAUAAAUCUCACAUUGAAGGCUAAAUUGUUGAUAUCCAUUACAAAAUGAUUGACUUUGAAUAGGCAUUUAUUUUGAUUCAUACUAGAUUAUCAUAUAUAAUCAAGUUCUCUAGAAUUUAAUGUUUGAUGUCACCAUUUAAGCUCAUAAAAAGUUGACAUGUGCACUGUUCACAUUUUAAAACUUAAAUGGUUGAUCAAUGAAUAAGUAGGUUUGAGAUAUAAUAAUGAAAAAUUAUGUUUUUUUUUUCUCUAAAAUCAGUGACAACGGUUUUUGUUGUUCUAAACUCAUUUUUUAAGUAAUUAUAGACAACGGUUUUUAUCUGUUGCGUUUUCCUGUAUGCAACAAAUCCGUUGUCAAAUGAAAAGACAACGCCUUAGACUAUAACGGAAAGAAAAGCAUUGUCGAAAGGUAAAACAACGGUUUUAUCAACUAUGGCUACGAUUUUCAGCCGUAGUUUUAAACCAAAAAUGUUGUAGUGUAAGCAAAUGGUUAGUGUGAAUUAAGGGUUUAAUCAUUUUAAAAAUAAUUAUCAUUUUUCUUGUUGUAUAAAAAUUGGUAUAUUUACAUACUAUUGCGUGAACACAAGAGAAAAUAAGAUAGGAUUAAUUGGUAGGUGAGAUUAAUUGGUAGGUGAGAUUUAAGUUACUUUGAAUAAUUGUGUGUAAUUUAUGCAAUAAUCAAUGAAAAUAAAUAAUAUGAGUUAAUUUACAUGUGAUAUUUUGCAAAUUUGGAUAUAUAUGUUGCUAACUUUUAUACAUUAUUGGAUAAAUUACGAGCAAAUUAUUCACAGUAACCUACGGUAAAAAAAAAUUAUCCUGCGCUUGAACAAUCGUCGGAAAGGAGAGGAACAUGCGGUAGUGCGGAGAACGGAUGUUGCUCCUCACAUGUUAUGGAAUUCAACAAAUAAAUAAAGGUUCCAUUUUCAUUAGUGAAAAAGAUUUAUUACAUCAACUAUUUAUAGCAAAUUAUAAUAAACUAAUGGUCCAAUUUUGCAGCCUUGGAGGUUUUUUUUAUCCCAUGCAUGCAUACAGCAUGGUGUGGAAGCAUACUUAAUUAAUUUUGAUCAAAGUGACGUGAAGCAUCGAUCUUAGAUAAGCCAAUCCAAUAGUUGCUAUUUUAUUUCUAAGCCAAUCCAAUUACACAUGUUAUACUUUCUGGCCUUUCGCAACUUGUCUUUGAAUAUUCUUGUUCUAUUUUGCUUGUUUUUUCUUGAAAAAUAUUAUCUCAAUCUCAAAAUAAUGUAUCUCUUCCUUUCUUUUAUUAUGCACUAGAGUCAAGAAGGACACGCUGUGCUUUUCUAUUGCGUUUAUUUGAUCGUAUAUUGGAAUAUACCAUAAUCAAAUACAGAUUUGGCUUAUAUUGUUCCUUUUUUUAUUUUUUUACUAAAGCUUAUAUUGUUCUUAGUUUCUAUUAUAAUGUGAUCUAACUGAUUUUUUUUAAUUUUAAAUUUAAAUAAUAUUAUACAAAAGAUAAAAUUGUAAGUUGAAUAGUUUAAAUGAAGGAUAUAAUUGAAAGAUUGAAAUUCAGCCCAAAAUCAUAUAUACCUUUUAUAUAUAAGUGUUGAUAAAAAAAAUUACUAAAAAUCGUAAGAAUCCACCUCUAAACCCUUUUUCGCAUGUCUAUAUUAGAUAAACUCAUGUUCCCGUGAGCUUAGCACAGUUGGUAAGGAUAAUACAUAAUAUAUGUAAGGUCCGGGGUUCAACCCUCGACCACCACCAAAAAAUAUUAGACAAACCCGUCAAAAUAGAUAAUAAUAUUUUGAGAAUUUUUGUCCUUUUAUACACAAUCCUUAAUCUUCAAAUUUUCAAUUGUAUUAAUUACUUUAAUUCAUUUUUGUUAUAAAAUUAUGAUAUAGAUAAAUUAAUUCCUACCAAUAACUUUUAAAAAGUAUAGAUUUUGUUAAUAAAUUUUACACUAUUAAUCUAUUCUGCUUAGCGUUUAUGAAUUUUUUUAAAAGAUAUAUGUUAAAGGUGGGAAGAAAAAUCCCUUGAGUUUGAAUGUUUGAUAAUCAACAUAGUAAAUUAUUGAUGUAGUUUGUAAAAAGAUAUAUUCACGAGAUCCUCGUGGACCAUAUUCAUCAGUUUUUUUUUACAACAAAUUGAACUCUUUUUUUUUUUUGACAAAAACAAAUUGAACUCUUGAUUACCUAAUUUUCUUUUAUAUGUUACCACGAGGAACAUAACCUUAGUUUCAUAUUAUUUUUUUACGGGAUAACCUUAGUUUUAUAUAUUUGUUCUGGGAGAACACGUAAUAUAAUUGGCAUAUUUCGAUGGAUUAACAAAUGGCAAAUUCUAUGGUACACUCAAAAAUUUGAGUGUACCGGUACACCAAAUCAUCAAAUUUAUAUUGAAACGAGUUGUUUUUUUGAAGAAAAAGAAUCGUUUUCUAUCAUUAACAAUUACAAUAAUUAGAUCUUAGUUACCAAAAGUGUCAACGAAAUAAAAAAUUUCAUUUUUUUUAAUUUUUGUUACAUAUAACAAAGAAUAUUUAUUAUUUUUUAUGAGAAAAUGUUAAAAAUUUAAUAUGAUUCUUAUAAACAAUGAAAUGAUGUUUAUUCUUAUAAAAUGAUGUAUUAUAAAAUAUAAAUAUUGAUAAAUAACUCUUUAUUUCAUAAAAUAAUCGUUAAAUUGUAAAUAUUUGAAGCAGGAGUACCGAUACACCUCAAUUUGUAAGGUGUACCGUAGAAGUUCCCUUAACAAAUAGGCAUGUCUAUCCAGUCUAAUUAUUUUAAAACAAUUUCAACAACUAAUAAACAUGUUAAAAUUAUAAAAAAUAAAAAAAAUAAAAAAAUUUGGCCUGCGUCUUGUUUUUUGAAUUUGGUCCUUGAAUCAGUUUUUAUUGGUUAGCUUUACAUCGAGUAUAUCAUUUGAUAAUCCUUUUAGUCUUUACAAUUACUAAUUAAAGACACAUUUAAAGAUAUUUUUACAAUUUUAAUGUAUUUAGGGACUACAAUGACACUACUAUACAAAGUUUGGGAGCAACUAAUCAGAGAACCGUUUGUAAUAACUACUUACUAAAAAGAGUGGGCUCCUAUAUCAAGCUUAGAUUGGCGCAUGAUUAUUAAGUUUAGAAUUGUGAAACCAAACUGUUGGUCUAUAUGAAGAACAAGAAGGUGCGAUGUGAAUAGCGUUCUUCGAUUUUCAAAAGAGUCUGCGAAAACGUGAAUUGUAUCAGAAAGAUAUAGUUUACUUACAAGUAGCAUUAGUCCUAUAGUAGUAUAUAUAGUUGUAACUACCUAAUGGGGUACUUUUCACUCAUUUGUAAUAUUCCAUUUCCAUUAAUACAAAGAGUUUGUUAGUUUUCUCUCAUUCUUUACAUUGAUGCCAUGUUUCCUAACAUGGUAUCAGAGCUAAUCUGAUAUCCACCUUUAAGGAUUUUCUGCUGCAUUUUUUUCGAGAAAAUAUUUUCUCAUUUAUGUUUCAUGAAAGAACUAAAUCUCUAGUGAUUUUGAUUUCAAAUUUUUGAUUCGACUCGAAAUCGUCAUUUUUCGCAUUGAUUCUCUGUUAUACAAUAAUUUUCGCAUUGCCACGGGGUACUUAGAGUAAUCUAAUAAUUUUCCUAAUGAUAAAAACUGUUUUACAAUCUAAAUUAAUAAAUAUAAUUAUAACUGUACUACUCCUCUUCCUUUCUUAAAACUCGUCUCCCUCUCCUAUCAAAAGGGACCAACUCGCCCAUUCAAUUUUCACAUAGUCUACUCUCUUCUUC
rnacentral:lncRNA from 1 species